UCAUACACAACCUCAAAAGGAGAGAUCCUAGUAGUCUUAUGGAAUACUCUAUUGUAUGCAAACUCAAUAUAGGGAAAGAUACUCAUCUCAAGAUUUGUGAUUGUCUUAUAGGAUUGCCUUUAACAUAGUGGGGAGAGAUUUGUUUACUACCUUUGUUUUUUCAUUGGUUGUUUUUUCUGAAUUCAGAAUUAUAAUUGAAUUUCAAUUAGUUGUUUCUAUUAUGGAAAUAUCUUAAUCGAUUGAAAUCUCAAAGAACUUCAUUAUAAACAUACUUUUAAAGAAAUUUUUGAAAGUUCAAUUGAACCCUUCUUGAACUUGACCUAUCUUUUUAACAACAAGAAAUACAAAUUUGGUUGCAAUUUUAUUUACAUGCUCAAUUCAUUUAUGUUUCAUGAUUAAUUCAAUUGCUAUUUAUAUUUCCAUUCAUGCUCUAUUUUACAUUAUCAAUUUUUAGGUUUAUGCACUUUCCGUUUUUUAUUAUUUACAUUUUUUCCUACAAUUUGCAUUUCAACCAUUUAUUUUAGUUUACAUUCAUUUACUUUUCUUGCACUUUAUAUUUCAACCAUUUACUUUCAUAUAAUUUACUUUUGGAUGUUCUUUUUCUUUCUCGCUCUUACUAAGUAUAACCAUUAGUAAGCGAUUGUUGACUAAACCGUCACGGGUCACUCAUAUUAAACCCAUCACCCAAUUCACUAAAAAUUGAUUAAUUAGGAUUUGAUCUAAUUGUAAAUAAAAUCUAACCCAAUUUAAUUCGAUGAGAUUGAGUCUAAUUAAGUCCUCUGGUAACUCGAUCCGAUCCUAGAAGACUUCUACCUUUUUUUAUAACAAAUAAUAAAAAAUAGUAUUAAUAUAAAUAAAAUUAUAUCAAUAAUAAAUUAAUAUUUAUGUUAAAUAUUGAAGAAAUUAUUUUUUAUUUCUCUUGAACCAAACUAUGCUUCUUUUUUUUCACUUUUUCUACAUUCAUAUAUUCUCCCUCGUUUUCUCUAUUUAGCUUGAAGUUUAUAUUUAGAUAUCUAAAGUAACAGAUAAUUGCACAAUCAAAAUAAAUCAAAUAUCAUAAUAUGAAUCAAUAAAGGAAGGUCUUGCAUCGUUCAUAAUAUGUUUUAAAUUGUUGUGUUGUGUGAUGUAAUAUGCCUCGGCACCAGUGAAUUUCCAAUUCAUGGUCGUUACUACCCACCCACCUACCACCGAACAAAGCGGCGCCUAGUAACUUCAAGUAAGACAAUUUUGUUCUCUUCGACAUCUACAAGGAGCCACCACUACUCCUCCUUAAUCAUUUUCAUGGUACAAUGUCUUAGGCCACUCUUCUGCAAUUUUAUGCUUCUCUGUGUUUUCCUUCUCCAAUAAUCACCAAAUGGCCAUAAUUCCCUUCACCUACAGCCAUACUCGAACCUUCUCUAAUCCUCAUUAUGCACUUCCCCUCUUCCACUCAUGCACCAAUUUCACUAGGAUCACAUUUUCUCCCACAAAUUAUGGUGCUGCCCUUGCCCCCUCUUCUCCACUCUCUCACUUUCGCGUAUUUUGCCGAUCUGAGGUAAUUCUUGGCUACCCUUUUGCUCCAACAUGUUCAUUUGGAUCCCAGUUUUUUAAACCGAGCAUUAAAAAUUCAACUUUCAUUAUUAUACAUACAUAUGAAUGUCUAAGAAUGUCAUUAGUUAAGAGUAUUGAUAUUACUUACUCUAUCUUCAUUCAUCUUAGACCAGUUAAAUCCAUGUUUUCCCCUUUGAAUAUCAUGGCAUCAGUUGAUUUGAGAGGUAUGAAAUUGACGAAUCAUUAGCUAAGAUAUCUCUCGUGUAUCAAACAACUAGGACAAUCAAUUUAGCUAGUGUGUAUGUGUUUAGAGAGUGCAGAUCAUAAUAUUAUUUUUUUAUGAUAUUCUUCUGCAUGUAGACAGAGACAUUGGAGAUAAGAAGGUGUGCCCCUUUUCUAGAAAGUUCAUUACUUCUUGAUAAUGGCGAUGUGGCUUCGGAUGAGUGGAAAGUGGUUCCUGAUAUUUGGCGAUCUUCUGCGGAGAAGUAUGGUGACAAUGUAGCCUUAGUAGAUCCAUAUCAUCACCCUCCUACAACCAUGACUUAUAAACAGGUAAAUUUGUUCCCUGUUGUUCUGUGCCUUUUGCCAAAUUGUUUUAAAUUAUCAUGCAUUCUGAUAAUAUUUUAGAAGCUUCUUUUGCUCCCUUUCUCUAGUAUAGUGACCAUAUAUAACAUGAGUACUAAGAUGUCCAUAUUUCUUCUUGAGUCGUAUAUAAGAAAGAAUUGGUCUAUAACAAGCCAUAAAAAGUAUGAAUAGAUUUUUUCUUAAACAUCUCUAUAAAGUAUGUUUUAAUAUAAUUUAUAAACAAAGGAAAACUAUCUGAGGAUCAUUAAAUAAAACAACUUUAUGUUGUGUUCACUUUGAUAUCUUAUGUUCUGCAUCAAAUUUUCAGUUGGAGCAGGCAAUUUUGGAUUUUGCAGAAGGAUUGAGAGUUAUUGGAGUAAAACCUGAUGAGAAGCUUGCGCUUUUUGCUGACAAUUCAUGUCGUUGGCUUGUAGCAGAUCAAGGUUCGUUGAAAUUUCACUUCCUCCACUUUCAGUGUAUUGAGUCUAGGAGCACCAGUUGCACAAAUCUUAUGUGUGUAAACUUUUACGAUUAAAAACAAAUAACAAUCAUAAAAAUUGAUUUUACCAUUUCAAAAACAAAGGCUCCUUCAAACUCAAUUGUAAAUUUUGAGAACUGUGUGUAGAGUUUAUGAAUUAAAUGUGUGAAGGAACUGUUACUAUAAUGUUAUGUUUCAUGAAAGUUAUCUCCAUGCUUCAAACUUGCUUGUUUUUCUGAUGUUACCUCCAUUUAGUGAUUUUUUUUUUAAUUUUUUGACAUUGCACAGUAUCUGAGGUACUGAACUUGGUGACAGAUGUACAGUGUUUAUAUGCUCAUAUGAGUAGUUGUAAAAGUUCUAAAUUAGUUUGAAAUUUGAGCGUUCUAAUACUAAAAAUGAUAUUAUGAUGUAAACUGUUUCGCUGUUUUUAUCAUAUCAAAGUUAUAUUUUGAAUCUAGGCAUGAUGGCAAGUGGAGCAAUAAAUGUGGUAAGAGGUUCAAGGUCAUCAGUUGCAGAACUUUUGCAAAUAUACAACCACUCGGAAAGGUUUGUCUCAUAAUGAAUAUAUGAUGAUGUUACUUCAUGUUGGGUUUUAAUAUAUGCAACUAGUAAAACACCUCUUAAAUAAUAUAUCUGUGUUAAAACACGCGUACGAUACUUGUUCUAAACAGGCCAAUAGACAAUUAAAAUUUAGAACAUUUAAGGUAGUCAAGAACAAGUGUGCUCUUAACCUAAUUUGUGAUCUUUCUAUCUGUGAGGUUUUACCUAAUAAUAUAUAUGGAGUCAGUCUUAACCUUGUGUCUGCCGUUAUGAUUCUCUCUUUACCAUUUGAUUAAUGUUAAUUAAUCCAAAUUCUCGUCCUAUACUAUUUUCUUUACAUUAUUCAUUUACAUCGGUCUCCUACCUAAAUACCAAAGGUUGGCCCAAGACCCAUAACCAACAAUACUCAUUUUCACAGUUUUUGACAUGGUGAUUUUUCGGUCUGAAUUGUUGAGACUUUGGUGACAUAUGGUAUUGUUAUUCAGCGUUGCACUAGUGGUGGAUAACUCUGAAAUGUUUAACCGGGUUGCAAACACAUUUUAUUCAACCACUACCAUGAGGUUUAUUAUUUUGCUUUGGGGAGAAAAAUCGGAGCUGGUUGCUCAACAAAACAAGCACAUUCCAGUGUUUACUUUCACUCAACUCAUAGAUUUGGGAGCAGAGAGUCGCACGAAAUUAUCUAAGCCUGGUAUGAUAUCUCACUCUCUCAUUAUAAUACUCUUCCUAAGGGGAAUCAGUUUGAAUCAGAUAUAUAGUAAAUUAGUAAUAAUACAUGACAUAAUAUUUUUAAAUAUCAUAAAUUAUUUAAGAUUUUUAUUUCAAAAUGUUUUUUUAGAUAACUCAAGGCUUUAAUUUGAUAAACAAUUGUUACAGUACAUUAUUAUUAUUAUUAUUAUUAUUAUUAUUAUUAUUAUUAUAAUCUCAUGCAUUUCUUUGAUCUCUUUAAUUUGAUUUUUGUUGUAACAUUACAUCUGUUCGUCUUAUAUUUGAUCGGUGAAUAAUAGAUUAGGGAGAGAUUAGCUCGAUAACAGUUAUAGCUAAUAUGUUUGGUUUCACUUACAUAAUUGCGCACUUACGUCUCCAUAAGCUAGUUUGCGUAAAUUUAACAAAUAAUUCAAAAAUUAAAAAAGUUCUUAAUAAUUUUUAAUCUCAUUCAGUAUCGUAUAAAAUAAAAAAUUUGAUGCAAUUAUAACAAUUAAAAAAACUUAAAAGAUUAAUGAUUAGUAAUAAAAUCUAGAAAUAUGUAAUAUUAAUGAAAUAUAGUGCAUAAAAAUAUUUAGUUAUAAUUAACUGAUAAAUAACUUUACAAAAUAAAUAAAUUAAAAAUAAAUAAUGCAAGUCAUGGGAUGACGACCCACACUUUGACUCAUGAAGGCAAAUUUUGUGUUAAUCUCCGUUCUUUCUUCCUACACUUCCAUAUUUUUUUAAAAUUCUAUCCGUACCAUUCUUAGUACAUGUAGAGUUUUUGUAUUGGUGAAGAGGGUGGUGAUUUAUUUUUCAUUUUCAAGUGUUCUUGAAUAUUUGUGGUGGUUGGUUGUGGUUGGCUGUAUUGACCAAUGAUGGUUGGUGGUUGGUUGUGAGGGUCAAUGGUGGUGAUAAAUGUUGGUGGUUGGAGUAAAUUUUGGAGUGUUUUUAGAGUUCGUUUUUCAUUCGCUUAUUUUUUUCUCAUUGUUUUCAUGUAUACAAAUUGUAUAAUUGUAUAGAGAUUGUAUAAUUUGGAAGGUAAACAUGAAUAUGGAAGUACCUUCUGAAUUGUCAAAUCCGUAACACAUUUUGAACUUAAAUUUGGAAGGCAAUUAUGGAGUCAGGUUUACCUUUCAAAUUGUACAAUCCAAUAUUAUAGUAAGGGGUUGUUACGAAUUUUACAAUUCAAAAUAUAUUUCCAGAUCUGAUAAUACCUAAUGGAUUUUGUAAUCUAGAAUGUAUUUUUUUUAAAGAAAAAAAUAUUCCAGAUUGUAAAAUCUAGAAGAUAUUUUCAGAUCCAAAAAUAUCUUUUAAAUUGUAUAAUCCAAGAGGAGGUGUAAAUAGAAAAAAAAUACAUAUCCAGAUUGUAGAAUCUAAAAAUAUUUUUUAAGGACAAAAUGGUCUUUUUAUUGCCUGAUAUAUAUAGAGGUAUAGAAGAAGCUAUGGAGAUGCAUGAAGAAACAACCCAUAAGAAUUAGAAGUUAUGCGGACUAUAUAUGUGUGGGCGGACGAAUACCAUAUCAUCAACACUAUUAUUUGGUGAGAAUUUGAAUGUUCCUCACUAAAUGUAUUUUUAGUUGGUCUCCCACAAAAAGGGGAAGGUCAAUAUGAAAAAAACUCUUUGAUACUUAAGUAAAGAGUACAAUGAUGGUGAUAAGUGCACAAGAGAAUGAGAGUUAAGAGUAUAGAAUAGGUAGAUUGUAAUUCUUGAAGAGUUGGUAUUUAUAGAUCUUUUCAGUGGCAACCCUUGAGUUGGCUGUAUGAUGGCCCUUUAUUGCUUCAUAAAUAGUCGUUUAACAGUAAAAGUUCUUUGAGUAGACCGUUUUAUUCAUAAUUGUCAUUGAUGACAGUGAGAGCUUAGUUAUGAGAUAUAUUAUGAGAUAUACACAAUUGCUCUGAGCUAUAGGUAUCCCACUUUUAUGAUAGAUAGUUACAAUAUCUUUCUCAAUUACUUAAUUUAGAACAUAUUUUUGAUUCACAAAUUUCAAAAUAUUUAUUGAAUGGGAUAAUCUAAAAAAUAUAUCUCAUGAAAAGCUUAUAUUAAAAAGUUUAUUCUGAAAUUUUUUUAGAAUGAGUAAUUCAAAAAUAUUCUUAGAAAUAGUUUAUAAAAGAUAAAAUGUUGAUUUUAAAAUUAUAGAAAUAAAGUUACUAAUUACUAGGAUAAAGGAUUCAAAAGUCUCGUUAAUCAAUAUCUAGUUAAAAUAGGUAUUUUCCAUCAAAUUUGAAACCCAUAAAAAUGUGGAGUUCCAAAAUCUUUUUUCAUGGCUAAGUUAUGUUCUAAACUAGGGAAGAAAAUGAAGGAUGAGUUUUAUGGGCUGACCUAGGCCGAUAAGAAAAAAUUCGGGGUUGACUGCUUAUUUUAAUCUGGUGACUCGUCCUGCAUAUAUUAAAAUUUUGGAUUUUUUUUUGUACCCUACAAUUUCUUCUGGCACCCUCAUACUCUAAAAAAUGUCAAAAUUAUCCAUCUCAAAUUCUACGAUCUGAAACACAAAUUUAUAUUCUGCAUUGUGCAAUCCGAAACAAAAAAAUUAACUUUCAAAUUCUAUAACCCGAAAAGUCUUUGAUUCCAUGUUUCAAAUUUAAAGAAAAAACGUUAAAUGAAAAAGGUCAAAGUAUAAUUUGAGUAUUUUUUUUUUGAAGUUUGGGGUGCAAGAAGAAAUUUCCCUCAAUCCUUAAUUCAUAACACCUUCGAAAAAUUUCAGCAAGACUUGAUGAUUUUUUUUUUAUAUUUACUAAUGUUUUUUUUUUCUUUCUAAAAUGCAUAAAUCAUUUAGGUUUCAAUACUCAUCCAAUGUAAUAGUCGGACCUAAGUCAUUUUUAUAAUAAAAUUUAAAUAUAAUAUUAUUUAUAUGCAUAAUAUUAUAAAUAUUAUUUUAUACUAUUUUUAAAUUAGAAUAGUAAUCAUGUGUCUACAUGUAUUACUUUAAAAAAGUGUAUAUAUUUAAUAAAAUAUUUUAUAAGUACAAUUAAAAUAAAAAUUUCAUUGAAAAUGAGAACAUCAUAAUAAUUAUUUUACACAUAUCUUAUUACACAUGUGUCGUGAGAAUAAUAUUGUGAGACCGUUUAUCUAAUUCAUCUAAAUGAGAAAAAAAUUUAAUUUAAUAAACAAAAAAUAAAUUUAUUCAAAAUUUGCAUUUGAAAAUUCAUUUUUCAUUAAUUUAAAAAAAACAUUUUUUAUGCAAGCUGGCCCGGAAUCUCAUGGGCCUAUUCUUAUGCGAGAAGUCCAAUCCAUUCCGCAUUUUGUGAGCCAAAAACAGGGCAGACUGACUUGAGUUGUCAGCGUCGAGGUGGAAAAAAGGUUUUUUUUCAUUUGACGAGGUGAAAAAAUUAAUGAUUGAGUUGGCCAAAUUGGAAAGCUCUUUGAAGGAUGCCUAGGAAGCUAACUUUGCACUUGAAGAAUUGGCAAAGAGUCCAAACGUGAUAACUUGCCACCAAUAGGGCAUCUUGGAGGACUCAAUCGUUGAUGUCAGAGUAGAAGGAAAAAAGUAUGGCCACCGAGAUGAAGGAUUUGGAGUAAAGUUUGACAAAUAUGACUUUGGCUUAUGAAGAAGAAAAUGUUAGCAAGGGGAAGGCUAAAGCCGAGCUUCUAAAGCUCUAACAAUAUGUUCUCAGCCCCACGAAGAAGGUUUUAAUCAUGUUGUUCACCAUACCUUCUUUUUCUAUAAUGUCUACUCGAGUGAGUUGGUGUUGGUUGAUGACAUCUCAUGUGCCAAUGUUGCUGGGAAUGUGUUGUUGAUGGUGUCAAGCACUCUCUUGAUGUCGAGCAUGGAGUUGAUUAUGACCAAUGGUCCUAAUUCUUGUUAGUUUCUGUUGUUUCUUGUUAGUUUGUUUUUUCAAAUAGCCUUUUUUUUUGGGUUUUGUUAGGGAAUGACUAUUCUUACAAUGUAAUUUUUUUUGUGAGUUUCUCUUUGACUUUUGAUUAAUAAAAUAGUUUGUGGAAUUUUUGCAAGUUUGUGUCGUUAAAACUUUUUAUUGAGUAAUGGUAAUCAAGAGGGGUUGUGUAUGGCGAAAAUUCCCUAGUCGAAUCCAUUUUUAUAUUUUAGAGGGAUCAAUGUGAAACGUCCUAGACUCACUAAAUAUUUGUGAGGGAUCACACUAAAACUCCAUUGAUUAAGAUAUAUAUGUAUUUUAAUCGGACCCAAAUUUGUGUAAAAAUGAAAUUUUAUUCAUGUAUCUUGCUGAAACCUUCUCGCCUAAAAUUUUUUUUAGGGAAAAAAAAUCAAGUGAGGAAGGAGUACAUUUACCAUUGAAUAUAAGUUAACUAAAAUGAAACUUUAGACGCAUAAUGUUUCAUAUUUUUGGUAUUAGGUCUCCCACAAGCCGUUCGAGUUGAUAUGCUCCAUUUUUUACUUCAUUAUUGUUCCAAAAAGGUCUUUCCAAGUUUUAUGACAACUUGCCUUCAUUUUUUUAGCGUCGUUCCUCAUCCAUCAUACAAAUAUUCCCUUUUGGAAGUUUCUUAUCUUAAUGUUUGAAUCAUACCUUAUUGAUGCCCUAACUUUGUAAGUCUCCUCUUUUAUUCGAACUUUAUCCCUUAAUUUGCUAAACAAGUCUAAGGUGGCUGCUAGGUUUUUGUCAUUGAUGUUUAAGUAAAAAAAUUGCCUUCUUAGUGAGGACUCACCAACUUCACCUUAAGCUAUAUGGAGUUUGUUAUGUCGAUCACUAAAGUGUACACAUGUAUGCCCAUAUAAUCUUUAGCAAUUCCUCUGUCCGCCUUCCCUUACCCACUCCUAGUAUUUUCUUCAGCUCAUUUAGGAUAGCUUUGUUGGUGGUCUCGACUUGAUCAUUCAUUUGAAGAUGCCCAAAUGAACUAGUAAUAUGUCUUAUAUUGAGACCCUCGUAAAAGGUGAUAAGAUCCUAAUUAGUGAAAUAACAUUCAUUAUCUGUUAUAAUUGUGUAGGGGAUGCCAUAUCGACAGACAAUAUUCUUCCAAAUAAAACCAUGAACGUUUCUAGAGAUUGACCUCAUUCCACUUUGUGAAGCCAUCAAUAGCUACCAAGAAAAACAUGCGUUUGCCUUUACCGAGCGAGAAUAGGCCUAUCAUAUUCAUACUCGAUGCUACAAACAAUGACAAUAAAUUGACGUGAUUUAACUCUUGUGGGUUUCGAGUGUAACAUAUUCCCAUGCUCUUGGUAACCAAUACAUUUUCUUCACAUAGCACAAUUAUCAUGUAGUGUUGGUCACUAGUACCCAAUCCAUAGGACCCGAAUUGACAUUGUCCUUCCUCCAAAGUGGAAGUUGCAUACUCCUUGGUCAUUGGUGAGACAUUUCAAAAGGGACAUAGAGUAACUUCUUUUGAAUAACUCUUUGUCGACAACAAUGAAGCAAGAAAACAUUUUUAGCAUGAUCUUUUCGUCUUAAUCAAUGCAUUCCCCAUUUUUGAUCAAUACUGGAAGCUUGUAUCGUUUACUAUAUGGCAGACUGAUAUUGGUCUUUCUUCUUUGUAGUUGCAAUUUGACAGUAAAUCAACCCUUGUGUUAUGUUCUCAUCGAAUAUGCUUUAUCAUUGACUCGUUGAAUCUAGUUAACAUCUUGGAUACUUGUGGUAGUAUUUGAGUAACAAGAGAUCUUUAAACUGUAAUUCUCUGGUCACGUGACCCAUUGUCAAUUGAGAGUCAUUUUUCAUUGGAUAUUUUUUGCAUCGCUCAUAUCACACGAGUGAGUAUGAGCCUCUUUGUCGAUCAUUAUUUGGCAUAUUCUUUGUUGAUAGCGUAUAACCUCUUAAAGAAUUCACAUUGGUUCCACGAAAGAUAUCAAUUGUACUAACGGGAGUCGAGAGUAACUCCUCUUCCACUAUGCUUACUCUCUAAUAGUGAUUCCAGAAUCUUCUCAUUUAAUUGGUCUGACGGACAAGUAAAUCUUGUCUAUUAAUAAAUUAUAAAUAAAUACUAUUAAAUGUAAUUAGAUAUAUGUAGAAUGUCAAUUUAUUUAUAGAGUUAUAACUAGUAUUUUGAUGCAUGGAUUGAAUUAGUACUAUCCAUUUUCCUAAUGAAUGAUUAUUAAUUAAAAAUUUGUUAAUUAAGGGUACAAUCCGUCAUCUUAUUAUUCUGAACAUUUCGAUUAUUGUUACAGGGUUCUUUCACUAUUGUAGAUCCGAGAUCAACUGAACUUUAUAUAGUACAAAGUAUUUUCAUUUUUGUCCUCUACCACUGCUCAAAAGUGAAAUAUAAAAUAUUUAAUUUGGAAAGAAAUAAAACAAUUAUAUAUAUAUAUGUUUAUAUAUAUAUAUAGAUACUUAAUUUUUUAAACUGUUUAUUCAUUUCAAUUUAAAAUAACAUUAUAUCACAUUUUAAAUUAUUUAUUAUAAAUCUAAAAUAUAAUUUAUAUAUUGAAAAUAUUUAUUUAUUAUGAAUUUUAAUAAGAAUAUAAUUUAAAAAUUUAAAAUAUUUAUUCAUUAUAAAAUAUAAUAAUGUAAAAUAAAUAUUUAUGUUAUGUGGAAUGCACAAGUUAAAAUACUUUUUAAAAUUAAAAGUUAGUAUAUUAAGAAAGAGAAAAAAUACAUAACAUGAGACUCUAUGAUAUAAAUGACACCACAAAAUUGAAUAAAAUAUAAUAUAUCUAUUUUAAUUUUUUUAAACUAUAUUUCCAUAUAACUGAAAAAAUGAUGUUUAGUGAAGUUUUAUGUGUUCCAAUCUUUUAAAUUUAAUAUAUGCACUUCAGAAAACUUAUAUACAAGAACUUGUCAUCGUUAAUUACGUUAUACAUUAUCAAAUCAAUACUAGUUCUACUCUUGAUUCUGCAAAAGAAAGUAAUGUGCUAUUUUUUGGUACUUUCAAUAUUAAAUGCAGAACAACGUUAUAUGUAUGAAGCAAUAAAGUCAGAUAGUAUUGCUACUCUCAUAUAUACAAGUGGAACUACUGGAAAUCCGAAAGGUGUUAUGCUCACUCACCAGAAUCUUCUGCAUCAGGUUUCAUCACAUACCUUCCAUAAAUAUUAUUGUGACUACAUAUCUUUAGAGUUUUGCCAACUCAUUUUAUUUGGUUGGUGUUGAAGAUGAUCUCAACUUUUAAAUACAAUUUUUAAUUUAUUUUUUUUAAACUAAAGUAUAGCUGUAUCUAGAAAUAUAACUUCAAUUUAAAUAAAGUCGUACUUUUCAUACUGUUUCAAUUUUAUUAUAAAAAGUUUUAUAAUAAUAUAUGAAUUAUAAUAAUCUUAAUAAUAAUUAUAAUGAGAAAAAUAAUUUUAACAAUAUAACUAUUUUCAUAAAAAUAAAAUAUUAUCAUUACUAAUAUUGAUUAUUAUUAUUUUCAAUACUAAUAAUAAUAAUAUUAUUAUUAAUAUUCAUUAUAAAAUUAGUUUUUAUUAUUAAUAAAAAAUUAAAAAUUUCUACAUUUUGUAUAUAAUUAUCUUUUAAAUUUUAGAAUCUAAAAUAAUUAGUAUCUAAAACUUUGAUAGAUAAUUAAAUAUCAAUUUAAAAAUUAAUUUAUAAUUUUUUACUACUAUUAAAAACUAUUUCAGAUAUCAAUAAUUAUUUAUUUUAUAGAAUAAUAUUUAAUUUAAUAAAUAUAAUAAUUAAUUAUUUUUUAUCUUUAAAAAUAAUUUCUAUUUAAUAAUUUUUUUAAUAUAAAAUUAGUUUAUAUUUAAUAAAUUUUUACAAGUAUAUUAUUCACUAUAUACAUUUUCAGCUAAAAUAUAUUUACAUUUUGUAUUAAUUAAAUCAAUAUCUUUUGAAAUGAUUUUAUUGCUUUGUCCAUUUUAGAUAUUAAAAACAUAAUUUAUCCAUUAUUCUACACUUGAUAUGCGUGAUUUAUUGAUGAAUUUGUAGAUAAAAAACUUAUGGGACAUCGUACCUGCAAAAGUUGGGGAUAGAUUUCUAAGCAUGCUGCCACCUUGGCAUGCAUACGAAAGAGCUUGUGAGUACUUCAUUUUCACAUGUGGUAUUCAGCAACAGUACACAACCGUCAGGAAUCUAAAGGUAUCGUUUUUUCUCAUUUUAUAUAAACACUGUAACAUCAAAAUUAGGGUUGAUAAAAGAAAAAAACCAAUACCAGAUUUAUUUUUCUUCAAAUACUGGAUCAUUGUUUCAGUUCAACAGUUAUUAUUAGUUAUUAUUAGUAGUAGCAUGAUAAAAAGAAAUACAUACACUAUAAGAAAAUCAUGAAAUAAAAACCAAUUUUUAGAGAUAAAAAAAUUAAUUAUAAUAGUAACUAAAUUAGAGACAAUUUUAGAAAUUAAAAAAAAAUUGGUUUCUAAAUUAGUUUCUAUUAUUGUUAAAUAGUUUCUAAAUUGGUAUCUAAUUAGCAACUAAGGUUUUUCUACCAAAUUUAGAAAUUAAAUAAUUGGUAGUUAAAACUUUGGUUGUUAAUUAGAUACCAAUUUAAAAACUAUUUAACAAUAAUAGAAACUAAUUUAUAGACCAAUUUUUUUUUUAGUUUUUAAAAUGGUCUCUAAUUUACUAUUGCAACUAAUUAUUUUAAUCUCUAAAAAUUAAUUUCUAUUUCAUGUUUUUCUUGUAAUGAUAAUUGGUUAUUUUCUUAUUAUUAUAUGCACAUUUUUUUUAUAAAAAACUUUCAUAUUAACUAUUACUAGAAUAGUUGAUAUCUCGGUUAGAUUGACAUUAUAAGCACGUUUAGUAACAUGCACUCUCCUUUCUAAUUUUGUAGGAUGACUUGGAACGCUAUCAACCACAUUACUUGAUUUCUGUUCCUUUAGUUUUUGAAAUAUUGUACAGGUAAAUAUCCUCUUUAAAUGAAUAAUCAUUGGUGCGUGAAUUUGGUUUCUGAAUAAUAUUUUGAGGCAAAUGUUUGAAGAUUUAAUAAUUAAUUAUUUUGUUUUUUAAAAUUUGUUUUUAUUUAAUAAUUAGAUCGUAGUAAAAUGUAAUCUAUUAGGAAGUUAACUUUCAUUGGUUUUGUUGAUUGUUUCCUUUGUAGUGGGAUCAUGAAGCAGAUAUCUACGAGUUCUGCUGUUAGAAGGCUUGUCGCACUAACAUUCAUUAGUGUGAGCUUAGCAUACAUGGAAUAUAAGCGUAUUUAUGAGGUUUGUGAAUCUCUUCACUUUAUCUGAUCUCCAAAGUGUCAACGUGCUUCUUCAGGCCUACUUUGAUUCUUAAUUUCCUUACACUUUCUAUAAAAUUUGUGUUUUCUUUCCAUUUUUGUCUUUUCUUGCUUUCGGAAUUCUCUCUUAAUGAUUUCUUAUUUUAUCCAAAAUGAAAGUGAAAAGGGUAAACCACAUGAUGAUUUGGAAAUACUAAUUGAUGUGUGAAGCAAAAUUUGCUUGAAUGAGGAGGAUCAUUGCAGAACUAUUUCUCACCAAAGAUAUUUCUUUUGCUAAUUUCAAAUAUGUUUUAGGGUAAAUGUUUACCAAUGAACAAGAAGCAGGCCUCCUACGUCUAUUCAAUGUUGGAGUGGCUGUGGGCCAGAAUUAUUGCCACAUUAUUACUUCCAAUUCAUAUUUUGGCAAAGAAACUUGUCUACAAUAAAAUCCAUUCAGCUAUUGGAAUAUCAAAGGUUUUGUUCUCUUCUACUACAUUAUCUUUUAAUACUUAUUUCACUUAAAUUUGUUAGUGGUACUUCUAAUAUUUUUUUUUUCUCUAAUUUUUUUUUAUCAUCUUGGUCCUUGCAUAUAAAAUUUUUGGUCUCUGCCCAUGGAAUGUGCGAAUGAGAGUUUAGAAAAAAUGAAAGAGAUAAAAAGAAGUAAUGAAAGUUUAUGAUCUUAGGAUUGAAUGAUACAAGCUGAGAGCCACUACACUAGAUAUAUUUAUAACGCAUAUUGCAUGUAGACGUUCAUGUAGACGUACAAAGAUAGUAUAUUUAUUCUAUGUAACAUCUCUCCUUAAACUGAUGAAAUGGUUUGGUUGGAAAUAACUCUUAGUUUAUCUGUGAAAGAUGAAAAUGAUUAUCUAGACAAUGGUUUAGUUAGAAGAUCAACUAUUUUUAGAGUACCUGGAAUGUGAAUGAGAUGGACUUCUGGAAUGUGAAUGAGAUGGACUUCCUUGUGUUGUAUGGUGUCACGAACAAAAUGCAAGUCUAGAUCAAAUUGUUUAGUUUUGGAGUGCAUUAUUGGAUUUGCAGCAAGAAGAAUUGCACCCAGAUUGUCACUGUAAAUCUUCGGUAUUGAAAAUGGUAUGCGUAAUUCAUGUAGGAGAUUAUGAGUCCAUUUGAUCUCAGUUAAAGUUGUUGCAAUGCUAUGAUAUUUUGCUUCAGAAGUACUCCUGGAGAUCACAUUUUUUUUGUUGGAAGCCCACGCCAUUGGAUUUUUUCUAAGAAACACUGUGUAGAUCGUAGUGGAUUUUCUGUCAUCAAGGUUAGAAUCCAAUCAAGUCGUCAAAACCAGUGAUAGUGAGUUGUUGAGACUUGUGAAGGAGAAGACCAUGUGACUGAGUUCCAACAAGGUAGCAUACGAUAAUUCUAGACGUGUGAUUAGAAUAUACUGAAGAGAACCAACAAUGGACUGAUACAAGGAAAGAUCUUCAACGACAAUGAUUCCAUCAUGUGUUAGACACAUAAAGGAUAUCAUUGGUGUAGGAUGGGGCUUGGACGUAGUCAUGCCUGAUUUAUGCAGUUAAUCAUUUAUGUAUUUUGGUUUAUGGAAGAUGAAGAGAGCCAUUAGCAGUUCAUGAAGCCUCUACUCCAAGAAAAUAAUGAAGUCGGAACUACAUAUAAUAAUUAUAUCAUCAACACAUAUCAUAACAAAUACUUAACAUUGUUGUAAAUUUUAGUUUAUGAGUAACCAAACAUGGAGAGAGUGUUACCUAGCUUUUAAAACCAUGAGCGUGGAGCUUGUUUGAGCCCGUAGAUCGCCUUAUAAAGCUUGCAAACAAGAUUGGAAGAGUCAAUUUGAAAUCUUGGAAGCUGAAACAUAUAAAUUUUUUCUUGAAGAUCACCAUAUAGAGGAAGAAAUUAUUUAUAUCAAUUUGGUUUAUUGGCCAAUUAUGAGUUAAAGCAAUGGUUAAGAUGAUCCAGAUAGUGGUUGGUUUGACAAAUAGACUAAAUGUUUCAGAGUAGUCAAUGUCUUCUUGUUGAUGCAGUCUUUGGCUACAAGCCUGACUUUAUGACGUUGGAAUGUUCCAUCAGUUUGUAUUUGUUUUUGAAGAGCCAUUUACAACCAAUGGGUUGAAGACCAAUUGGUGAAGGAGUAAGAGUCCAAGUAUUUUUGGUAUGAAGAGCUUCAUACUCAUCUUGCAUGAUACUGAACGAGUGAGGGUAUUGUAAAGUUUAUUUGAUUGUAGUUGGAAUUGGAGAAAUAUCAGUUGAAGUAAAAAAAACAUGUGGUUUAAAUAUACCAGAUUUAUAUUGUGUGAUCAUAUGAUGAUUAUUUUGUAUAAGAAUAGAGGAUGGGGGAUCUGCGAAUGUGAUGUCUUGUAAUGUACCGCUUACUUGAAGGAGACAAACAAAUAUAACCCUUAUAAUUUGAACUAUAAGCAAGAAACAAACAAAUGGAUGAGCAAAAAUUUAAUUUCUCUUUUGUUGAAGGGUGGCAUUAGGGGACAACAUGCAUAGCGUAAAGUUUUGUAGAAGAGAUAAAUCUGGCUACUUAUGAAAAAGAAGACGAUAAGGAUUAUCAAAGUGAAUAAUAGGAGAAGGUAAAACAUUAAUAAUUGUAGUAGCAGUAGUGAGGGUUCCCCAGAAUUCUAGAUCAAGUGAAGCAUUGGCAAGAAGAGAUAAGCCAACAUCUGUAAUAUGACGAUGUUUGCGUUUGAUGAAGCCAAUACGCUCAUGCGUAUAGAGACAUGUUAAAUGGUGUUUGAUGCCAUUUUUAGUAAGAUAAGAUUUUAAACUGAGAAACUCUUUUGCAUUAUCCGUUUGAAUGCUUUUGAGUUGAAAAUCAAUUUGUUUUUUAGCAAAAAUCUUGAAAGAUUUAAAAACUGUAGGAGCUUGAGAUUUAUGUUGUAAAAGAUAAAACCAAAUAUACUUUGAAUAUGCAUCCAAAAAAACAAUGUAAUAGUAUGAACCAUUAGAAGAAGGAAUGGGAGAUGGACCCGGAUAUAAAAAAAAAACAAUUGUAAUUAUGCAGUAUAAACAAUGUCGGAAUCACUGAAAGGUAGUUGAUGAGCUUUUCCAAUAAUACAAUAAGUGGUUGAACCAACAUUGUUGAUAUACAAACCAAAAUCAUUACCUAUUUUCACAGUGUCAAAACCAGUGUAUGAAGCCUUUUAAGAGACGUUGGUGUCAUCAUGAGUGAAAUGAUGGGAUGCACUGCUAUCUGGAUACCACAAGGGAUCAUGAACCAUGGAUGGUGUACCAAGAAUUGAUGGUUCAUCAUCUUCACUGGUUGUGGGAACAAACUGAGACAUGUUAACACUGAUUUAAGAUAAGAUGGAUGAUCAUAUAUGUGCCAACAAUCAGAAGCAUAAUGGCUAGACUAGCAAAUUUGACAUUGAAUCUUGGAGGAAGGUGUAGAAUUGGACAAAGUGGAGGAAGAAGAUCAAGAAUUUUUAUUUGUUGAUCUUGCACAAACAAAUCGAUAUGGUUGUUUGGAAAAAGAAGGAUGUAGUUGACCACGACCAUUUCUAUUAUAAUUGUUAGAAGAACUUGAGCGAGAAGGAAAUUAAGAGAAAGAUACAAUGUUAGCUUGCAAAAGAAGAUCAGUGGACGAGCAAAACUUCUCAAGUCUUUCUUCUUGGACAAAAAGAAGCACCUUCACCUCCUCAACAAUGUAUGGAUCAAGCGUGAAGGUGACAGAAGUAAUGAAAGCAUUGUACUCAUUGGAUAAGUCAUCAAGAAUGGACUCAAUCUGAUCGUCUACUAUAAUUGGACAUCCAACAACGACCAAGGUGUCAACAAUCUUCUUGAUAUCAAGAAGAAAGGUAGAAAUUGAAUGAUCACGUUUAAGAGUACGUAAUUGAAUCUUUAGCUUUUUAACACGUGCGUGAGUUUGGGAAGCAUAAUAGGUUUGCAUAUUGGACCAGGUUUGAUGAGAGGAAGAAAGGCCUACCAUCUUCGUGAGGAGAGACAAUGACGUAGAUGCAAGAAGCCAUGCGACAAAGGCUUGAUCUUUUUUAUCAUAAGAAAUAAAAGCGAUGGAGAGAGUAGUAGUGGAGGCAUCAUCGUCUGAUGAAAAUCAUCGAGGAACAGGGGCAGUGUCCAAGAAACGGAUUACGUUAAGACUACGUAGAGUGGCAAGAAAUUGUUGUUUCCAGAUGAGAUAAUUGUCGUAAUCUAGUUUGAAAUGAAUUGAACUAGUGAAUAUGUGAGGAAUGAAAGAAGCGGAAGCGGAAAAGUUUUCCGUGGUGGUUGUAGCUGAGAGCGUUGAAGUCAUAAGUGGCUCUAGAUACCAUGUGAAUGAGAGUUGAGAAAGAAGGAAAGAGAUAAAAGAAGGGGGUAAUGAUACAUUGAUAACCCACAAUUUUUAUAUAACCAUAUUACAACUCCCAAUGCUAUUAUUUUAAUAUCUUUUUAUAUUAUUUAAUUCAAAACUUAUCCUAUAUUAUAUAUAUAUAUUUAUUUAUUUUUAAGCUCAUCACAUCAAGAGUUGUAUACAACUCUGAAGGUUGUCAAAAUACCAUUUUCCUUUACUCUAUAUAAUAGAACGCAUCGUGAUUUGAAAGUGGCCUCUUGUUUGUAGCAUUUUGUGUGACACAUCACCUUGACAUUGACUCAAAUAUGAAAGAAAGAUAAUGUUUAUACAAAAAAAGAGAGUAAACUAUUAGUAUAAUUAAUGUUAUUAUUUCAAAAAUAGUUUUUUUUAAAAAAAAAUUCAUGUUAGGCAUCACUAUGAAACCUGACACCCCAAACACCAUAAAUCAUAUGGCAUCAUAUGAAACAUAGCAUACUAGGAAAAAAAAAAAAAGAACAAACAAACAAACAUGAGGGGACUAGACCAAACACAUGCAAAGAAAUACAAAGAAAAUUCCCUAUAUAACAACCUAAGCAAAACGUUACAUAGGAAGUUUAUACCUAUUAUGCAAAAAAUAUAAAGAAAUGCUAGAUGACAUACUUAUAUACCAAACAUAUUCAAGCAUAUUAUUGAACCCUAAAGAAGCAAGUUUAUCAGCACAAUGGUUGCCAUCCCUAAAAAUAUGAGAAAGUUUAAACUUAAUAUCUUUAGAAAAAGACAAACAUUUAUUCCAUCUACUAUGGAUAGACCGGAACGAGGUGCCUGGAAGAAUAAGCAAGAUAGAUCAAGGUAGAAUCACUCUCCAGCCACAAACAUCUAUAACUAGCCUCUUUAGCAUGAUCAAUAACAAUGAUAACUCCCAUAAAGGAAGAAUGGAUCCCACGAAAAGAAGAAAAACUAGCAAGAGACUCCCUCAUACUCUUUCUAAAGAUCUUAACACAAGCAAUAAGAUCAAGAGAACCUCUAGUAGUAUCAUCAAUAUUAACUUUAAUCAAAUUAACAAGAGAAAAACUCCAUAAUACAUGAGUAUUCUAGAAAUAAUAAUUUUUUAUUUUAUAAAAUCAAGAAUGUUAAUUGAACUAACAUUAACCUUUUUCGUCAUAAUCAAAUAUGUAUAAAUUAAAAAGUUAUAAAUUACUUUUUUUUAAAUUGUGUAAAAUUGAAAUAAUAUUUCAAAAAAAAAUAUAAAAUAAUAAAUAUUAAUUUACACAAUUAUUAUAUGUAAAAUAAUUUCUAUAAUUAAUUAUUUUAUCAUUUCGAUCUUUGUAAUAUAAAAUUUAAUUUUAGUAGUAUCUAUAAUAUAAACUUUUCUCUUUUUUUAUUCUUCAUGUCAAGGUUUUAUCUUUUACGGAAGAUGUUAUAUACGAGAUGUAUUAUGACGUUAUAUAUCUUGAUUAGGUAGGGUUAUGCUUGGCAAAUGGCUACACUUUACUCACAAGAACGAAAAUAAUAACAUUUUAUAUCAUGGACACCAAAAUUUCUACAUAAAAUUAAGCAUCAAAAUGAGUAUAUUAGAAGACCAUGUUCUAGUUAAGAGUUUAGGUGGAAUUAAACCAUAAUAUUCAAGUGUCCCCUUUGGGUUAAGGUUCUUUGUAUUUGUAGGGAGAUUAUAACGAGGGUUCUUUUGAAAGGCUUAUAGGGACUGCAAAAACAACUUGGGUCAAGGAUGUCCAUUUCUUUUGGAUUGUUUCAUCCUGCACCUCCACCUCCAUAUGUUUUUCUCUCAUCUCUAUAUAAAAUAUGAAAAUAUUUUUUUAUCCUUUUUUGCCACUUCCAUAGAGUAACUUUCGGAUUAUGUAAUCCGGACACGCAUUUGAAAAAAGACUUCCAUAUUACAUAAUCCGGAAGCUAAAAAAGACUUCCGAAUUAUGUAAUUCGAAAACUAAUUAUGCAUCUGAAAAAUGGCUUCUAAAUUAUAUAAUCUGAAAGCUAAUUACGAAUUUGAAAAAAGACUUCUAGAUUACGUACUGGAAUAUUACAGAGGGACAUUUUUAGAAAUAUGAAUAUUACAGAGAGAAGAAUAUAUGGAGCGGCAGGAAGAAAUAGCCUUUCUUUUGUUAUUUUGUGUGUUACUUUUUAUUCCACCUAGGGACGAUUGGGCCUUGGUCAGGUUGAAGCCUAACGAACAAAGGGAUGUUUUUUCUUGAAUCCAAUAAAAAAAAAAAAAUUACUCCAUCAAAUAGGUGAAAUGAUCAAAUGUUUCAUUUAAUUUGUCUUCAUUCUGAAAAGAUCUUUCCAGAACACAGUUCAGAAAAUUAUUCAAGAAAUAUAUUUAAGUUUAUCAGUUAAUCCUAGUCAUAACGGUACAAGUAUAUUUAACUUAAUUAUUUUGUAUGUUUUUUCUAUAUCUUAUUUGUUGUCUUGUUUUGUUAAAUGCAAUAUUGUCUUUCUCUUAAAAAUAAGUUUUAUGAAAAUUAUGAAAAAGGAAUUCCAGUUAAAAUCUGGAGGAUCACAUGAUGUUAUUAAAAUAGUGAUUCAUGAUAGUUAUGGUACUAACUAACCAAAUUAGUUUUAAUAAUUCAUAUAAUUUUAAUAUUCUUACUUUGGAUUACUCCAUUAAGGAGGCAUUUUUAUAAGAACUUAUGGCCAUGGACUUCUAGUGAUCUCCCUUUUUUCUCUUUCUCUUGCCUCAUCAGUGAUCCAGUAUGGAGAAGUCCUUCUAGGUUGAAUCAACAUUUUAACUAAGAUUAAAAAUCAUAGAAAAAAACUAACGAGAUAUUGUAUUUCAUUCUUGUUGGAUGAGAUUAAGUGUCACACCUCAUAAAGUGAGAUAAAAAAAAUCUUGCAAUCCUACUUUCAUACGGAAACACUUUCUGAACUAGGUUUGUGAGUUUUUACUUCUCAAGGAGAUUUUUCUCAAGUGUGUCAUUAUUCUAUUUUGUUUUUUUUUUUGUUUUGCUAGUUAUUUGUCUCGUAAGUAUUCAUUCUGUAUAACAAAAAAAAGAAUUAGUUCUGAUUUUUUCAAAACUUUGAUCCUAUCUUGAGUUUGGAGGGAGAGAGAUUGUUCAUUCAUAUACUUGUGUCAUUGUUCAUGAUUUUGGAAAUUGUGAUUUGACGAGAGAAACUUCUUGAUUCUGUAAAGGCUGGAAUAAGUGGAGGUGGUAGUUUGCCAUGGGAAGUGGAUAAGUUUUUCGAGGUAUGAUAUUUCAAACAUGUGUAACUUGUUACAAAUAUUUUGGAAUCUACUUGGCCACUUCACAUUACUGUUUCUUUUAUAUCAUGCAGGCAAUUGGUGUUAAAGUACAAAAUGGAUAUGGUUUAACGGAAACUUCACCAGUUGUUGCUGCUAGACGACCUGGAUGUAAUGUAAGCAACUUAUUUAAUGCAAUGAAAAUUGAAGAAUAAUGUUUUACAACUUUCUAUGUAUUAUUUGAAGAAGAAUGUGCAUCAUGUGGUGCCUUUAUCUAAGAAUGUUACAGAUACAAUCUUGUGAAGGUUCUUGGAUCUAUUGGGCAUCCAAUUCAUGAAACAGAAUUCAAAAUUGUAGAUUCUGAAACUGGUGAAGUUCUUCCACCUGGUUCAAAGGGAAUUUUGAAAGUCAGGGGUCCACAAGUGAUGAAAGGAUACUUCAAGGUAAUUUGCUCUGUUAGAGUGCUUCUAUUAGUGCUGUUUUGUGGAUGAAAUUGUGAUAGUUAUCUGUGUUUGUAUUAGAAUGAUUUAGCUACAAGUGAGGCCUUAGAUGGGGAUGGAUGGCUGAAUACUGGUGAUAUAGGGUGGAUUUCUCCCCAUCAUUCAACUGGGCGGAGUCGUCACUCUAGUGGUAUGAUUGUUGUGGAAGGUCGUGCUAAAGACACUAUCGUGCUUUUAACAGGUAAGUUGAAGUUUCAACACUAUUAAGAAAAUAAUAAUAAUCAAAUUAUUCAAUAUAUUUUUGAAACCUCAAUUUCAAUUUCUUCCUGUGCACAAAAUCCUUAUGAUUACGAGGCUUUUAUUUUUCCCUUUUCAAGUAUUAACCACUUGUUCUAAUAAGAGAAGGUGAAAACGUUGAACCGGGGGAACUUGAAGAAGCUGCAAUGAGGAGUUGCUUAAUUCAACAAAUUGUUAUUGUUGGGCAGGUGAACUCUUAGAUUCUUUCAUUUUCUUAUAGAUGAAGCACUACCUAUUAUGAACUCUUAGUGAUUUAACUUGUUAAUAACUGUAAGGAUAAGCGUCGUCUAGGAGCUGUAAUAGUUCCUAACAAAGAAGAAGUGUUGAUGGUAGCAAGGAAAUUGUCAAUUAUAAAUUCUGACAAUUCAGAUGUCAGUGAGGAAAAAGUUAAGACCCUAAUUUAUAAAGAGUUAAAAACCUGGUAAGACAUGCUUUCACUUCUCUUUCUUUUCAAUGCAUCAAAAAGUUUAUGCUUAUUAUGUUAGGGAAAGACACUAUUAACUAUAUCUUUAAAAAAAAGUUUUGAGCAAUAUUUAAGGGGACUGAACUCUUUGUUUUGAAACAAAUUUGUUUCAUACCUUUGAUGCUGACUAAAUAAAAUAGAGUUCUUUCCUAUAACUAGUUUCAUUACAAGAAAAUUAUUAAAUAUAAUUAAUUUUAAAAAUAAAUAAUAAAUAAUUAUUAUAUUAACUAAUUAAAUAUUAUUUUAUUAUUAUCUAGAGUAUUUUCUAUUAUUAAUAAAAUUUAUAUACUAAUUUUUAAAUUGGUAUCUAAUUAACUAUCAAAAUUUUAGCUAGUAAGAAUCUAAAUUAAUCGAUAGCUAAUUUGAUACUAAUUUAAAAACUAGUUUAGAAAUUUUAUUAAUAAUAAAAACUACCUUAGAUAUUAAGAAUUUUUUUAAUCUCUAAAAUAGCAAUACAAGAAAAACAUGAAAUAUAAACCAAUUUUAUAGACAAAAAAAUAAUUAGUUGUUAUGGUAACUACAUUAGAGACCAUUAAAAAAAUUGGUUUCUAAAUUAGUUUCUAUUAUUGUUAAAUGGUUUCUAAAUUGGUAUCUAAUUAGCUACCAAGGUUUUAACUACCAAUUAUUUAGUUUCUAAAUUUAGUAGCAAAAACCUUGGUUGCUAAUUAGAUACUAAUUUAGAAACCAUUUAACAAUAAUAGAAACUAAUUUAGCAACAAAAAAUUUUUAGUCUCUAAAAUGAUAUCUGAUUUAGUCAAUAUAGCAACUAAUUAUUUUUUGUCUCUAAAAAAUGAUUUUUAUUUCAUGAUUUUCUUGUAGUGUAGUAUCUAAUUUAAUAAAUAUAACAACUAAUUGUUUUUUAUUAUAAAAUUAAACUUUUAUUUAAUGAUUUUCUUAUAAGGUUCAUUAAUCAGGAUAUCACAUGUUAAUAUUCUUGAUGACCAAAAUAAAAUGGAAAUAAAAGAAAGAGUUUACAUGUUAGCUAAUUGGUGUUCAAUGAUUUUAUUUCCUAUCUAUACUCUAUAAUAAUCUUGGUUGAUUUGCAUUUUUCCCAUUCUUUGUGUCCUGUUCAUCAUGCAGGAUGUCUAAAUCUCCAUUUCAAAUUGGACCAAUCCUUCUUGUAAAUGAACCCUUCACGGUUAGAUUUUUUAAUCGAAUUCAAAGUCAUAGUAUAUUUUGUAUGUUGUUUGUUAUUUACAUAACAAAACUGAUAAAUUUGGUUCAUCCUUUUCUCUAAUGGUAGAUUGAUAAUGGUCUAAUGACACCCACCAUGAAAAUUAGAAGAGAUAGAGUUGUGACUCAAUACAAGGAUCAAAUAGACAACCUAUACAAGUGACCUACUGAGUGUCAAUGGCACCAUAUAUGCAAAGACAAGAAAGCUUAAACAGAGAUGUAAGACAAGGUGUAAAGUCAUAAUCCUGGGUGACAAUCUUUAUAUAUGUUUUUUGGUAUCUAGCAAAAUGGAAGAUGAUUCUCAACCAUACAUUGAAGUUGAUCUGUUAAAAUGUUUUUGGCUCAAACUAAGAUGAUCUGUAUUAAAUUGAAGUUCAAUUUGCCUUAGAUAUUGAAUGUGAUAAAAGACAUUCUUUUUUGAAAAAUCAAAUGGUAUGAGUUACACUAAUUUUAAUGUAAGUUAGUUAAAUGUUAUAAAUUUAAAAAAAUCCUAAUGUAAGUAUUGUAUCCUAACCCUUUUGAGUUUUACUUUGGGUAGAAUGGCUAAUGGAGAGGGAGUUUGACAACUUUUUAACAUUAUUGUUCAUUUGGAUUAUAACUAUUAAAUUUACAUUUAACUUAUCACAUAAUUUAUUUGCAUUAUAAAUUUAAUUAAUAUAAAUAUUUUAACUAAAUUUUCUAUUAAUUCUGAAUUUUGUCAAUAUUUUCUUUGUAAAAUCCAGCACUAAUAAGAUUUAUAGAAAUUUUUAUUCUAAAACUUUAUAAAAUAUGAGAAUGAAGGUAAACCAUAUAUACUUCAUAGAAAUACAUACUAGAAUAAAUUAAAAAUCAUUUGAAAUAUUUUUUUUAAUUGAAAUACAUGAUUUUGCGUUUACUAGUCUUAGAGAAUCUUGAUGAGAGAAUUUUGUUUAAUAGUAUUAGAGAGUCUUAAUGAGAGAAUUUUAUUAAUUGUUCAACAACAAAUAAAAUGACUAUUACAAGUAUUUAUAAUAUUUACAACGUUCAAAAGUGGUGUGUUAUGAAUUUACAAUGAAUAAUUGUACAUUAACAAACAUGCAAAUAGUUGGACAACUCUAGAGUAACAAUUCUCAUCUUGACACAUGUACAUUAACAUGCAAGCAAGCAGAUGAAUAAUUGUACACUAACAAACAAACAAACAGUUGGAUAGUUGUACACUAACAAAAAAAAGCAAACAAUUGGACAGGUGUACACUAACAAUUCUUACUAACAUCUCCCUCAAAGUCAAGGAAAUGAUUUUUCGGAAGAAAAUGUUUUCACAUUGAGUUUGCUUCGAAGAACGUAAAUUGAGCUUAAAAUAACGACUUUGUUAUAUCAUAUGCCCACUAAUCAAGAGCAGGAGUAUGAUAAAUAUAAAACCAACAUCAAUCUCUAUGUGUUAGUACGAUUAUGAAAAACUGGAUUGUGAGUGAUGACUACAACACUUUGAUUGUCACAUAAAAAGUAUUGGAGUAGUGUAGGAAAAUUUGUAUUUAUGUGAGUAAAGUAGAAAUUCAUGAAAGUUCAAUAAAUGUUUAAGCUAAACUUCUAUAUUUUGUUUUGGUAUUGGAGCGAGCAAUAAGUUGUUGUUUACGAGAGAACCCAGAUAUUAAAUUAGGAUCAAGAAAAAUGGUUGUUGCUGAAGUAUAACGUCUAUUGCCAACAUUUGAUGCCUAAUUAGGAAUAUCAUACCAAUCCAAGAGCACCAAAUGAUUUAUAAUGAAUAUAAGGAUGUCUACAAUUAUUUGGAGAAAGAUACCAACCAGAGUCAUUCCAACAAUCAACAAUAGUAGAGGUAAGACUAAUUCUUUCAAGAUAAGGUACCCCAGUAAUAAAAUAAAUACAUUUAGAAAAAUAACAUAAAUCAUUCCAUAAAUUAAUCUGAUCACCACUCUCAACAGUCCAAAAAUUAUUAUGUAAAACAAUAUCAUAAUAUUCAUUAAUAUCAGGUCAAAUAAACGAAGAAUGAGAAGAAGACACAAUAAUAUCAGACCAAGGCAUAUUUGUGUAGGCAAAAUCCCAAGCUAACCGAAGAAGAUAUGCUUUGUUUUUCACCUGCAAAUUAAGCACUUGCAAACCCCCAUCGUGCUUAGAACUUCCACCAAAAUUCCAUUUAAUAAUAACCAAACCAACCUUAUUAACAUCCCUAGUCCAAACAAAAUUUCUAAUCCAUCUGUUGAGGCCAUUUAUAAAUUUGAAAAUUGUAUGCAUAGUUAACUAAUUAAAACUAUUAUGGAAAGACGAGACAUCUUGCUAGCAAUUGAUGGUUUGCACAAUAGAAAGCUGAUAAAACUUAAGGAAUAAUGCAACUUGCACAACAAAAUAUUAAUGGUGCUAAACCGAAGAUUUUGGGAAAAAAUUCACAAUGAUUGGAGUUAAAGCAACAACAUCUAAUAAUCUCAUUCGAGGUAAAUGCUUCAUAUGUGAUAGAGCUAUUGAUGUUUUUUAUGAUUCAGGAGCUAGCGAUUGUGUGAAGAAUCUUCAUUUUCCUAUCAUAUCCAUGCCCUAUGAUAUUGUGGUAUCUAGUCUUACUGAUGAAUCCAUUACUACUUCUUUUGCAUGCUUAGGAUGUUUUGUGAUCAUACAUGGUAGAACUUUUUCAAUAGACAUGAUUUGUUUCCCGUUCUCUUGUUUGGAUGUAGUAUUAGGAAUGGAUUGGUUUUCAUCCAAUCAUCACGUCCUUCUCUGACUACAAACAUAAAACUUUGAUCUUUAGUACACCUUCAUGAAAAAACUCUAGAUUUUUAAGUAAAGGUGACUCUAGACAAAUAAAAGAUAUUAAAGCUUUUAUGAUCUUAUUUUCUUUCGUUGUAGAAGAAUCUCUUUAUGUGAAUAAUGUUCCCAUUGUUAACGAGUUCCCUAAAGUCAUUCUUGAAGUCAUAACUAAGUUCCUGCCAUAAAGAGAGCUUGAAUUCACAAUAGACCUAAUCCCAAGUUUUAGUAGGAUAUCUAUUGUCCAUAUUGCAUGUCUUUAGUAGAACUAGUUAAGGUGAAGAAGCAAGUGGAGGAACUUUUACAAAAAUAGUUUGUGAGACCAAGGUGUAUUCCCUUGGGGAGCACAAGUGUUAUCGGUGAAAAAGAAAGAUGGUGACAUGUGAAAGUGCAUUGAGUACCGUCAAUUCAAUGAAGUGACGAUCAAGAAUAAAUACCCAUUGCCAAAGAACUUUUUCUACUCAUGACCAUCUUUAAAAAGUUUACAAAAGCAUUUGUUGAACUUGUUUGCAAACCCAAUAGACGACCCCCUAAGCAUCUAAUAGGCAUUUUUCCAAGAAAUUUUAAGCUCUAUUAACUCCUCCCUUACUAGAGCUAACCAUUUAUUUUGUAUAUGAUCUAUAAAAACUCCUUGCUAAAUAGAGAAUAUUUCACAAAAUAAAGGUUUUACAAAGAAAAUGCAUUCUCUUUAUGUUACCUAGUAGAUGAUCUAUUGAUUUUUCACUAAGAACCUUUACGAGCACUUUUUCAUGCAAAAUAAUAUAUUCAUGUAGAAUGGCUUAUAGAUUCAAUCGUCCUUUCUACAUAAGAAAACUUUUAUUUAUAAAAAUCUUGUAAAAUGUCAUUGGAACUAUCAUGCAAAUCCUUUGUCCUUGAGUCAAUGCUUCAUCAAAGUAUGGUUGUCUUUUGGUUGACAUAUUUUUUUUUUAGCAAUGAGCUUACUAUGCAUAAGACAUUUUUUUUCUCUAGAAAUACUUCAUAGUGCUAAUAGCACCAAAUUGAACAUACUAUCAUUUAAAUGGUUGGUUCACUUUAUUAAAAUUUACAUGGGAAUCUUUGAUUCAAUUGAUGAUGAGAAAAUGGAUUAGUAAUUCGAAUUGUUUAUUAUGAUAUCCACAUGUUGUCUACUUUUUAUUGGUAACGUUAUCUAGUCUCUUUGUGCUUCUUAUGUUGUCAUAUAUUCUUGGUUGUCCAACUUUAAAUAUCUUCUUUGCAAACCAUCUAAUGUUUAGUUUUUUUAUCUAAUGUCUAGUCAUUUUGAACUUUUGAAAAUACUUAUAUUAUUUUUGUAUGCUUGUUUGCUUUUAUCAUAAAGAUCUAUUUUUCUUUAUUCACACUUUAAAAAAACAUGAUUAAAUAAAUCAAAAUUUAGUAUUAUUUAUUAUCACUAAUAUCAUUGGUUGCCUCAAAAAGUUUCAAAAACACUAUACUGAUUGAUAAAGAUUAAACUAGUGUCUAUCCAUGUAUUACAUCCUCUAUAUCUUAAAAAAUACUUGUUUAAUAAAACUUUGUUGUUGCUGUUAUUAAAGCUAUGGUUUGCAUCCAAGUCAAAAGAUUUUUCUAGUUAUGUCCACAUGGUCCUUAAACACAAAAGUAAAAAUGAAUCAUCAAAAGAGAUGGGCAUUCAAAGGGAAGGUAAAGGAAAUCAUAUAUGCCAUUUUCAUCUUUUAUAUUUAUGCAGUUGAUAUUAUCCUGAAAAUAAGAGGCUGAUUAAAAAAAUUCCUGAAAAUAAGAGUGCAAAUCGGGAAACAACUAGUCUGCAUACAAUGAUCCUCCCACAUACCUUCCUAGUUUAUACUAUGAUGAAAAUAAAAAUAUCUAUGCUGCUAUAAUAUAAUGAAUUGAUUAGUGUUUUGCUGGCCAUGUGUUGUUUUUGCAGGCACAAAUAACAAACUCUAUAAUGACAUAGAGUCUAGUAUCUUGCUUUGAAGCUACGAAAUUCUCACACCAAAUAGCACUCUUGUUGUCCCACAAAUGUGUAUGCCAUGAAGUAAUUUUUACAUAUAUUCCAAGUAUCUAUUUUGGGCAAACCCCUUUGUCCCACAGUACAAAACAAAUCUUAACAUUUUCACCCACAAAAGAAUAUAAACUAGAUCCUUAAAAAACCAGUGUCCUACGUGCAAACAUAAGCCUCUUCACCAUACCAUUUUGUAUUUACCAUGUUAAAUAUAUAAAAACAAACCAUUGUCAAGUCCCAAACGCUUGCUACUACUGAAGCCUUUACUUGUCUUGAUGUUAAACAGAAGCACUUGUCCAAUAGUAAUAUUCAGAUAAUUUAUGUCUAUUUUUAUAUGUUGGCCUCAACCGAGUCACACCGACACAGAGGUUGAAAGAAGCUGUUUCAUAUAAUUGAUGGAAAUACUAUUCAAAUGUUAAGUUUCAAACCUGUGCAAUGUGUGCCACUUUCUGUGAUUAAUCUAAAAUAAUAGGAACCAAUUCCAAUUAACACACUCAAAUCACAGUUUUAUCCUUGCCUUUGCAAAUUCCAUGUGUAAUAAUUUGAGGAUGGUGUGAAAAUAACUCUUUUAAGUUAUGUUUAUUUUGUUGAUUUUGUUGGAGUCUAAGGAAAUUCAUAAGGAUCCCACCAAUCACCUUUUGGUUGAGGUCACAAAGACUGAGUUUAGGUUGGGCAACUUAGAGAAAUAUGUACCAAAUAUUUUAGAUGCAUAAUUUAAGUCAACACUCACUCACCUUUAUCUCUGUUCUUUCCUUUUUCUUUUGUCAUCAUAACUCCCUUCCUAUAAUCCUAUUUACCUUAUCCCACAUUUGUUCAUGUAUUCUUUUUUAAGUAUGUGUAAGGUCUUCAAUAAGAAACUUGGCUAAAACAGAUAAGUAACUAUUUACUCCCAUGAUUUUCUGCAUCUUUUUGCACAAUUAUCUUAUAAACUUAAAUUUUACAAAGAAUGGACAAAAAUAAAAAUCAACCAAGCAUCAUCAUAUUUAAAUGCCACAAAACCAAUCAUGUGUUUCCUAUGAAGACUUGUUUUAGGGGCCACAAAUAGAAAGAUAUUAUUUGAAUUUUAUCUUCAAGAGAGCCACUUAAUUUGAAUUAUCCCUUACAUAUACAUUAUUAUUAGCGAAGUAAAUCAUAGUCUUCACAGAAAAGAAAGAAAAACCAUCUGUAGCACAUGGAAAAUAACAUAAUUUCCAUGUUGUCCAAAGAGUUUGGUGAAGUGCGUUCCAUCAGCUUGUCACUAAUGCAACUUGCAUCUUUUUCAAAAGGGUGGUGUCAUAUAAUAUAAUAUUCUCUAUAUAGUGCUUCUUAGUGGAAGGUGGAAGGAAGUGUACAUCCAAGACUCAGAACAGAAGAAUGGCCGCAAAACCAUGGACCAUUAGACUUUGUUUCUUCUACUUCAUGCUCUUCAGCUUUAUGCAUUUCAGCUGCUGCACUGUGCUCUCAUUCACCAGUCAUGUAGGCAGAUGCAAUGGCACCAUAGCUGACUGUAAUCAAGAAGAUGAGCUGUUGAUGGAGUCAGAAAUAAGCCGAAGGUUUCUGGAGCAGAAGUCAUACAUUUCCAAUGGAGCUUUACAGAGAGACAAACCAGUUUGUAAUGGUGGUGGCUCUGGUGAAGCUUAUAGUAACAGUGGAGGAUGUCUUCCUCCCCCCUCAAAUCCUCAUAAUAGAGGCUGCUCUAAGUACUACCGUUGUAGGUCUGACUCUUGACUGCAUCUCCAUGUAAAGAAUCUUUGAAGGUUGUUCAUGGAUGAAGCCUUUUUACAUAAUCUUUAUGUUGCCCAUUAAAUUUCCUAGGAACUUUUGAAUUUGAAAUUAUAGAAAAUUUCCAAAUGGUUCUCUAAUAACUAAUAUCACACUACUGCUAGCAGAUUGAGUGCACUAAAGCAAAGAUCAAUCGCUAUGAUUAUAUCAAUUAUCAGUAUCUUUUCAUGUCCAACUCUUUCUCUUUGUUCCAUUAUGCUAGUUGGAAUUUAAUUUUUCUGUGUGUUUUGGUGGAAUGUUUUUGUAAUGCAUAUUUAUAAAUGCAAACAUAAGGUAUAAAAUGCAAUAUGAAACACAGUUUGCAAUCUUAGAGAGUAGGCAUCAGCCAUAAUUCUAGUUUAAGUUCCACAUACAAAGACCCAAUAUCAACAUACAUGAUAAAUAAAUGUUGAAUUAAAAACCACUAGUGUAUGAUGUAUCCAUUAGAUAAUAAAAUUGGCUUGGCAAUGUGAGGUGAGUUGCAAAUUGAUAGACAGCAACUGGUAUGAGAAUAAGGACUGAAUACAAUUUGAGUACAAGGAUUCCCUUCCAAGAUACUGAGUGCUUGGUCUUCCGAUAACAUGGGUGGUAAAGGUUGAGAAGUUUCUUACUGAGAGAGAGCCUUGUUUAGUAAAGAAACAUGGAACACAGGGUGAAUUUUACUCUAUGGUGGAAGGUCUAACUGAAAAGUAACUGCUCCAAUCUGUUUUUUUAUCUGAUAUGGACCAUGAAAACGUGGACUCAACUUCUCAUUUCUCUUCCCAGCCAAUGAUACAUGGUUGUAACUUGAGAUACACCCAAUCUUCUUCAUCUGAUUCUGUGCUUUGGCCAAAUUUCCUUUGAGAUCAUGUAACAUUUGAUCCCUGUCAUUGGUCAACACGUUCACCUCUUCCACAGCUGACAGAACUGUGGCUGCUUUCAGAAGAUAGGGUGGGUCACCACCAUACAAUGAUUUGAAAGGAGUCAAUUUCAGAGAAUUGUUGUAGUUAGUGUUAAACCGGAACUUAGCCCAACUCAACCACUUAGGCUUAGUUCUUAGUUCCAUUGAGGCACCUUAGAUAAGUUCCCAAGCAUCGGUUGACCACCUAAAGGGAUGGCUAAGUGCAAGGAAAUGAGCAUAUUUAGUGAAUCUGUCAACCACUACUGCGAUGAAAUCUUUUUCGUGAGACUUUGGAAGCCCUUCAAUGAAGAUAGAAUUGAAAUACGAUUUACUUAUAAGAGGCCUAAAACAAAUAUGCUAUGUGAAGAAAGUCAAAUAUGAAAUACAUAGAUCCACAUGUUUUUGUAAUUUUACCUUGAUAAUUACGAGACGUUUCUUACGCUUUUAUUUUAUUUUUCAUUUAUAUUAAAAAAACUACUAAAAACACAUUUUUAUUUUUUGUUUUCAGGGCAAAUAUUUGAAAACAAAUAUUAAACCAUGGCAUUUUUUUAAUUCAAAACUAAACAAAAAUAAUAAAAUCUGCAUGCUAGCCUAAAUUUUCCCACAUUCCACUGCGUAAAUUAAAAGUGUCCAAUUGAGUAGGAGAUACAAGAAAUAGAUAGAUACAUUCUCCUUUUUAUCCGAUUCUAAAAUACCUGACAUUUAUUUCCUUUUAAUAUGAAAGUAUAAGUGUUUAAUUUGAUAACAGUUAUUAAAAGGAUAUUUUUAAAUACUAACUUCUAAAUCUGUUGUACCUUCCAUUUUUUAUUUUUAUUUUAAAAUACGCCCUUUUCUCUAGAAACUAGUUUUUUGAAAAAAAAUUAUUUCGAUAAUUAACUCGUUAGAAGUGCCGAAAAAGCUUUGGAUUAAAUAUUAUAUUAAUUGAUUAGAGAAAUAACUCUUGUAAAGAAACAAGUACCAGGUUGGAUACAAAAUAACUUUCUAUAUACCCCUUUGGUCAGCUAGAUAUAGAAUAUUAUCAAAACAUGGAAGAUUAUGCAACAUUUGCUAGUGUUCGGGUACACCUAUCGACACCAUCACCACAGUGCCAUUUGUCGGAGUUCAAGUCAGCAUCGUAAUUGUGCACAUAUAGCAUCUUAAGUUGAAAAACAGUGGCUUCUGAAGCAUCAGCAAACUCAAUAAAAUCCUAAUAGCCAGCCGUAAUAAAGUUAGAAUGAUGAAUAAACAAAGAAAGGAUGUCAUAGUCUUUUAAUCUAGGCUGGUAGGAUCUAAAUCAGUUAUGAUUCAUUAACUGGAGAAAAAAUCCUGAUAAACUAGUGAUGAAUUCCUAUCACAUUCUGCAUGAAUUGCCUUCCAUGAUCCAUGGCAUAUAUGCUUGAGCCAUGAUGAAAUAGUUUACGUUCUGUUUAAGACAGAGCACAAGCAUACACAGGAUAAGGACAUAUCUCAAGGAUAAUAACAGAAGUGACGAGAUUUCCAAGCAUAAUUUUCUAGUUCAAAUUCAUCUAGUUUCCCAAUCCUUCAAUUUUCUGCUUCCUUUAGGUUUUGACAUAGACGCGUUCAUUGCUGCCAUUUUGUCAUUAUACUUCGCACGAAGUGGGUCAUUGUAAGUCCAUCUGCAUAACAAUUCAACAAGAAUGUUAGAAAACAAUAUUUCAGCAGUGAAUAUCUAAGUAUUAAAUGCUUCUUGUACUAGUAAUAAUUAACAAAGAAACCCUUUUUUCAGUGGAACGGAAGGCCUGGAGGUUAGCUGAACUAAGAAAAAUGAAUUCCUAUAAACUGUGUUAACAAAUCCCAUACUAAAGCCCAUCAUUCCAAAGAUUAUUGCAAUAAAAUGAUUGCAAACCUAUUAUUCACCUAAAAUGAGUGCAGGAACAAAUUCUGGUGUGAAAUUAGUGUAUAGACUCCUUUUGUAGUUAUGAAUCAGAAGUGUGGCAGAAUUAAUUUAAUAAGUUACAUCAACAUCUAAACAGAAACAGCUUCAGCAUUCGGUAGAUAAUAUAAGUAGCAUUUAAGAUGGUCACCGAAGGACAGGGAAUAUAUCUUUGUCUAGACAUUAAUUUCAAAGCAUAACUUUUACAUGUAUACUCUCUCAGCAUCAAAAAAUUACAAGCAACAAAACAAUAAAAGUAAAACUCAAGUACUAUGAAAACCACUUUGCGUCAAGAUCUUACUAAACAUAUAGAACUUAACUCUGUCAGUUUCUAUUAACAUUAUCCUAGAAGUCCAUUGAAUCAACAGCAUUACUGUGAUACUUUGCAUGUCAGUGUUGAGAAAUUUUAUUCAAACUAAAAUUACUCAAGUCUGCAGAUAAAGCUAAUGAAAUAGUUAGCUCCCUUUCCAAGUGAACCCACUUGAACAUUUAGAACAAGGAGUAGGCACAGAAAUCUUCCAAGCCAUUUUUCAUUCAGAAAUCUAAAGAGAGAUCCACUUGAACAGUCAAAGUUAAGAGUGCAGUAACACAGUUGCCCCACUUUAGCAGACACAAUCUGCAAUGAUUGACCCUUUCAGCUACUCCCUAUCACUCCAGCAAGGUAUAUGGUCAAAAGUGUGUAGGAAAUCACUUGAAAGUGUGGGUGCAAGGACUGGAAGGAAAGUACCAACAUACUCUAAAAGAAAUAUAAUCGAUACAUGAUCUGAAUUUUAUUACAUAAUAUUUAAAUCCAAAUGCAUGUAUUGUUCUGUUUUGCCAUAUCUGUUGUUUUUAGUGGACUUGAGUAUUACUAAAUUCAGACCACAAUUUUCUUCAGCCGAGAGGUGUUUGGCCAACAGAAGAUACAAGGUAGAAGACUACAUGUAGAAGAGUAUAGAAGAAUUUUUAAAUUUCACCAAUGUAUUUUUAACUCCAAAUCCGUAGUUUCCAUAUGAAAAAUCAAAAUACCGGGAACUUCUAAUAAAAAUAUUAAAUACUUAAAACUAUAGUAUUUAAAUGCUCCAAAAAUUCCUUUUCCUAUUCUAAAUUACCCUACCCAAUUACAGCAUAGGAGUGUACAGGAAAAAGGAAAAAGAAAGUAUGUGUCUACCCAUACUAAGAGAGGCACAUAUCUUUCAAACAAAAUGCAUUAUGAAGGGCUAAAGACAUAUAAUAGUUAUUAUAACUUCAAUUCAAAUCCCUAUUAAUGAAAUGUUCAGAAUUAUCAUACAAGAGAAAUUAUGAGAAUGAUGUUACUAAAACAAUACAGAAAUAAUCACCAUCAUCAUCAAUUCCAAGACUAUUAUCAGAAAUUAGGAUGUUCAGUUCAUGGUACAAACCAUAGAUCUCACUGGGAUAGAAACAAUAGGUAACUGCAUUUUACAAGUAGCAGCUAUGUAUGCUCCCAAAUUACUGAUUCCAAAGCAAGACCAAGGGAGGAUUCCUGUGCAAGACUUAAAGAGUAUUUCAACCCAUAUUCUUGAUCAACGUAUUUUACCACAACUCAUUUGUACCUCAUACUGGACAUCAGGAGCAUGAUGUCUGCAAAAUUGGACAUCUAGAUUUGACCCAGCAUAAGACUAGACAGACUCAGACACAUUAUUAGAAACAAACAAGCCUAACUCACUCCUAAAAGCUAGCUCAAGGAGGAGGAAUAUUCAAGCUUUAGAAAGAGUAUCAUGGCCAUAUUCCUAGUUGAUGUGAGACAAGGUUAUUAGAACCUGUCCAGUCGCUAAACCAGGAAAGACAUGGAUUAGAGGUUCAAAGAUUCAAUCGAAGUCUAACCAAUUCAAUAAAAUACUAUUAUUUUAAUUUUUUUAUAUAAUAAUACAACAUAUUAACCAGUAUUAAUAAAAAUAAUGCAUAAAUUUCUAAAAUUAAAAUUUAAACUUCACUUAAAAGUAUCAUAAAGUUAUAACAUAUAACAAAAGUAUGUCAUAUAUGAAAGCAAACAAAUCUAAUUCAUCAUAUUUAACCUUGAUAAUAACAAAAAUCCAUUUGCAACUACAAGUCUAUUGAAAAACCAACCGCAACAAAAAGAAACACAUAUUUUUGAGCCAGCUAGUUGAACCUUUCUACCCACCAGUUUUAUCCCAAUUUUAAUCAAAUCCAACUUUUAGGAAAUUUUGGACUGGAUAUUCUUUGGUUCCUAGUUAAACCGGUCAAUUCCAGUUCUGACAACCGUAAUGCAGGACAUCUUAACAAUCUUAAGGAAAAAUAAUAGAGUAUAAAUUAGGCCUUGUAUAACUAAGUAUAGAUGUAAAAAUAUCGAAGUGUAAAGCAAGCAAUGUAACAGAAAAAUUGGUUAUAUAUGGAGUUACCUUUUAGAUAAAAUAAAACAUGGGCUGCUAAUGAACAACUCAUUUAAAUUGUGGCAUGCAAUAUGAUCCUAAUAUCCAGAAAAUUUCACAAAAGUAUUAAUCAUGAAGACCCAAACAGAAGAGAAGACAUGGCUGUUAUUGUAAAAUUUCAAAAGGAACAUGUUUUUCUACAAAAUGAAUUCCAAAAUGACAAAAUAGGAUUUGUGAGAUGUCAUAAUUGUGCUUACUCUCAAUGUUGUGAAAAUCGCAGGUAUACUCGUAUACUCACACGACUCAACCAUUUUUUAGAAGAAAUCGAGUUGACUCGCAUGGAGGAUUGCUGGCUGAGGGGAUCAGAACAAGUUUGCAAGUAGAUAGCUGGAUCGGAGGAUCGUUGACGGUCUCCGAUCCGUUACUCGGGCCAAUUUAAAAAGAAAAACUUAUCUGAUGUUUUGAAGGCCCAAGGAUGAGGCCAAAACAUGUUUCAUCUGCUGGUAAAUCAUGCAGCUCUGAAAUCACGUUCACAAAACCCUAAAAAAGCCCCAAAUCAAACCUCAUUCACUGAAAUUGUGCCACUCACACCUCCGUUGCCCACGCCUAUUGUUCUCCUCGCCAUCAGCGGCACCAAUUCUGUUUUUCUUGCUCGGGUUUGGCAUUGUUGUGUCAUUGUUCAAGAUCUCACACACUGCUUGCCGUAGCAGUCAUCAUCGCCCUCACCACCUGCAGCUGUCAUCACGCUUGUCGUCGUCACACCCCCGCCGUUGCCACUGCCUUCUCUAUUCUUCUGCUGCCGCGGUUCUGCAGCUCCCCUCUCUGUUAUUUUCAUUUUUCUUGUGCUGUCGCGGGAGGGAGAGCUCCUCUUUUAUAUUUCAAUUUUUCAUUUUAAACGUUCAUGAAUUUAUUGGUUGUUUUAACCAUGAACUUUUUAUGAAUUAUGAACCUAUUUUUAAUUGUGUAUGUAUUAAAUAUAAUUUUUUAUAUAGUAAUAACUCUUAUGAGUCGAGUUAUGAGUUUUAAUUCCUUUUCCAAUCCUCUUACGAUCUUCUUCGAGUUUCACAACAUUGCUUACUCUAACUGAAAUAUUCCUUUAACUAUAUUCCUUCCAAUCAACUCUCCUUCAUCAAUCUCAUUCUCAAGCACAAUCAAAUUCCUUGAUAAGCAAAAUGAUAGGUAGCAGCAAGCAAGAAUGACCAAAAUUACAUAAUUAAGUAUAAAAGUAUUUGUAUUCCAGUAACGGGUCUUAGUCAAGGGAGUUCAGAUCCUGGUAUACUCUGUGUACAACAGGAAAAAAUGAAGAUUGCCAUGCAGUUUCAAGAGGGUAAUCACUCCCAGCCCAAGCCUAAUUCCAGUAUAUCUUCUACACAACCUACUAUAAUCUCUCUCCAACAACAAACCAGCAAGCCCUCCUCCCAUGCUCUGCUGCCAGGUUGAAAGUUAGUUAUCUCUUCUCCUAAAACUGCACAGGUACACCAUACCUUUUUCCUAUCUCUACACACCCAUUACUAAGUAAUCUUGGGCUUUGAGGCAGCAUCACAAAACCAUUAUUCAUAAAAAUACUUAACUCUUCAGAUGUGAUGACUUGUGAAGUAAUAAGCAGUAAAAUUUACUAAAUCAUGAAAGAGAAAAAUAAUUAUAGAUGAACAUUUCACUUUUGACCUAACCUUCUCAACAUCAUUCCAAGAAUGCAAAAGUUAUGUGAGAACAUUUCAGACCAGUUCCACAGCAGAUGAAGUUCAGAAGUAUGGUAAAUACGAACAGAUAUGUAAUAUAUAGUUCUCUUGGGAUAAGACAACAACAAAAUAAUAUCAAAGAAUAGAACAAGUAAUUUACCACUCUUCUUGAAAUAAUAGAAAGUUGAAAAUUGAACUUACGGGUUGUUCCAAUCAGUUGUAUCCUCGUUGACAAGAUGGGUCCAUUUAGUUCUUCCACUACGACCAAAGUGCUUGACUUGCAUAACCUUGGGUAAUAUUGUCUUGUCCAUUUUAUCCUCCCCAGUUGGAGCUGAGAAAUCACGUGUGAAAAUACCAUCAGAUCCAACGGUGGAUGCCAGGUCGUCAGAUUGAGACUGGAAGAAAGCUCCUUUGUGAUAGUAUUUCUGCAUAAAUCUCCAUUUCUGCUUUGGUGGUGGAGCAGGUUUCGGAUUCUUUCUUUCCCACUCCCUCCUCUCUUCCUCUGUCAUGUUUCUCACCUUCUCAAUCUCUUCUUUUUCCUUCAACAUUGCCUCCCGAUCCUCCCUGUCCCUCUUGAUCCUACCAAUCUCCCUAACUUUCCAAGCCUCAUAUUCCUCAGCCUCAUUGACUUCAUCAUCAGUAUCCACAUCAGCAAUAUUGGCCUCCAUUUCCAAGUUUUUCUGGAUUUCUUCAUCCUUUCGUAUCUCCUCAACAACAAUCUGCUUCGUUUCAAUCCUUCUUUCCUCCAACCUCCUUUUCCUUGCAUCUUCAAGUGCCUGUUCCUCAGCCUCAAGCCGUUCGCGCUCAGCAACGGUAUCUCUCUCAGACUUGGGAACAAAAACCGGCUUCACCAUAGCCACUCCAGUAUAUUCCUCAUCAGAAUCAGUCUCAUAUUCAGAUUCCUCCUCCUCCUCCUCUUCUUCUUCCUCCUCCUCCUCUUCCUGAGGAAGCGCCUCUUCCUGCUCUCUUUGAAGCAACUUCUCUUUAAUCAGCCUCCUUCUUUCUGCCAAAGCAUUUUCAUCAUCUUCUUCCAUUUCCAACCAUUCCUGCCUCCUGGCCUCCUCUUCAAUGGUGGAAACAAUCUCAGCCUGCCGAAUGCGGCGAUGAUCAGCCCGAACCUCCUCCCGGUUAUCAAUCCGACUCUCAGCCAAACGCCGGAGCCUGCGAUCAUCUUUUCUGACUAUAGCAGUAUCUUCUUCGUGACGAGGAAAUACUUUCUCCAAGGCAGCUUCCCUUGAGGGUCUAAUAUCAGCAGCGGCAACGUCUUCAUUCUCCUCAUCAGCCCAUUCAGGAACUUUACCAGGCCAAUAACGCUGAACUUUUGUUUGCCCAAUUUUACCUCUGAGCUUAUCCCUAAUCGCUAUUACAGUAUCACUAACACCCGCUGUCACCGACAUCUUUCUUCCUCAAUCGAACGCGACUACGAAUAACAACAAAGUAGUUUCGAUUCCCUUCUCCACCAAACCCUAUUUGUCACCUUAAAUGGGUAAAACAUGUAUACAGCAACAGAAAUUUUCAGAUAAAGUAAAAUUGCAAGAAAGUGAAUAAACGAAUGAAGGAACACAAAAAGAAAGGAUAUGGUGAAUGAUAAAUUUUGAUUUGCGAAAAAAUUGAAAGCUUAACCCAAAGAGUUCGAUUCAAAAUACGAACAAUUGACAUGAUAGAUAACAGAAGAAGAUAAAGAAGACAAGAGCGAUAGAAGUUUGAAGGACUUACUGUUACAGAGGCCGAAACCCUCUCUCGUUUGAGGCAGCGCGUCGACCAGCACCACCUUGUUCUGUGAAACUCCUUCCUGUGAAUUUGAUUUGAAAACUCUGUAAAUAUUAUUAUUAUUGUUCGCGAAUUUUUUAAUACUUUUUGUUUUUAAAUUUUAAAAAGACAUAAUUACUUGUUAAUACGCAUAUAAUAUAUACUAGUGCGCGGCACUGUAUUCACUUUUUUAUUAAAUUAAAAACUAUAUAAUUUAUUACAAAUGAAUAAUUAAUUAAAAUAUAAUAUAAUUUAAAAUAUAUAUAUAUAUAUAUAUAAUUUUAUAAAAAUAGUAUUAAGAGAAUUAUAAGUCUUUUGAAAAGAAAAGUUACUGGAUUGUUUAUUUUAUUAAAUAAAUAAAUAAAUUCUUUUUUAUUUACUAAAAAAUAAAAUUGUCUAAUUAAAAAAAAUAUAAAUAUUUUUAUAUUUUUUCAAAUAAUUUUAUUAGUUUUAAAUAAAAUUAUUUUAAAAAAAUACAAAUAGUUAUUUUAGUUUUAAAAAAUAAAACGAUAAGAAUUUGUCUACAUAACAAAAAUAAUAAUUUUAUUUAUUAGUGUUAUAUAUAUAUAUAUAUAUAUAUAAUAAUGAUAAAAUUAAGAAAAAAAAUAAGAAAUUAAAUAAAUAUAUACUAAAUUCAAUACAAAUGGAAGGGUUGACAAAUUUGUUGAAAUUAUAACUAAUUAAAAAUGUUUAAAAUAUACAACUCAUUUUUCUUAUAUUAUUCUAUAACUCUUAAUAUUAUUAUUUUAAUUAUUUUUCUCAUCAUUUAAUUAAUUUUUUUUUUUUUAAAUUAUCACAUCAGUGAUUGUAUACACCUGAAUUGUCAAAAGUAUACUUAUUUAUUUUCUAAUGUUAUCUUUAUAUAUUUGAAAUAGUAAAUGUUUAAACUUACUUUUUAACCGUUAAAUUAUUAUUUUUAAUUCAAAAAAUAAAUUUAAAAAAAAAACAUAUUUUGUUGGUACAUAAGUAGGGAAAAUGGAUAUCUAUAGUAAACAAAGAAGUGUGGAAGAAAGAGAUAUGUGAUGUUGAAGCCUCUCCAAGAGUAACUUUCUUCCGAAUUAACCAAUUUUCUCUUCAUGUAUCGCAUGAUCGUCCUUAUAAUACUUUUUCAAAAACUUUCACUUGAUUCUGGAAGGUUGAAACCAUAAGGUUUCUUAUUUUACAUAUAUGCAACCGAGUAUCACAAAUCUCACAUGUCUAUUCCUUUUUCUUGUGAUGGUUUUAUAAAAUUUCCUCACAAAUUUCUAGACCAAAGGUUAAUUGAAAUAUAGUUGUAAAUGGUGAAUUGAUCAAAUGAUCAAGAUAUCUUCUCGAACGAAUUGUGCCCCAACAAUGUUUGUCACUUAUGUAAUUUGUAGUACGAACUAAGAAAAUAAUCAAUAAUUUGUUUAUGGAAGUGGCAUGAACAGGAGUUUAGUUUAAAAGUCAAAAUACUUCAAAGUUUUAGCCUAAUUAGGAGUGAUGAUACUUUCAAUUUUACAAAGUUUGAUCAAAGAGGAAAAAGUAGGGGAAGCACUACAACAAUUAUCACUUUAGGCAACAGCAUAAAAGCGUGGUCUAAAGCAUUAAAAUCGUGGCCUAAAGUUUAGGCAACGGUUUUUUAGCCGUGGUCUAGGUGAGCGUGGUCGUUGGUAAUAGACAACGGUUUUUUUAAAGACAACAAUUUUAAAACCGUUGCCUAAAAUCUUGAUAACAACCACAAUUUUAAAAGCGUUGUUUAAAGUAUUGACAAAAACAACAAUACAUUUCUUUAAUUUUAUAAGAAGUACUCAUACAAAAGUUCAAGAUAGCAAAAAUAAAUAUUAAAGGAUAAUGUGUAUUGAUAGAAGUGACUCAACAAAAAAAUCUCACAUAUUUAAAUAGAUGUGUUCCAACUACAUAAUCAAAAACUUUCUUAAAGUAUAUUGAUAACAAUCAUGUCUUCAAAGUUAAAACUACUAACAUAGUUAAAAAAACAUAGUCUAUUGUUUCUUUACUACAUAUCAAUAAGUUCAUUCUUCUUCAAGAUUGUCUUCGUAGUCUUCAUUUCCUUCAAGCUGCAAAAAAAUGCAUAAAUAUAUUUUAAUUAAAUCUAAUUCAAACAAAAUAAAUAAAGCAACUACCAAAAUAUAAUUGUAUAAAUAAUUAAUAACAUGUCUUAAUCAAAUCCAUUACACUUUGAUGUAACACUAGACAAUUGCAUGUAUGUGUUUACAACACAAAAUCAAGAGUACCACAUAUUCCAAUCCAUAUCACUAAACUUAUUAACAUGAUUGAAAUUCCAAUAUGAUUAUGUAUGUGUUUAUAUCUCCAUAUCCAAGUGGAAAAAAAAACAAAACUUAAGGACAAAAUAGUAACUUCUAAAUGUACUCCUCCAACAUUACAAAUCAAAGCAAUUUCAUGUGUAACUUGAAAAUAUUUCUCAAAGUCUAGUAAACAAUUUCAAUUAUAUAUACCUGCUCAUAAUGGGGACCAUGGGUGGAUAAAGAUGAAUGUAGCCCCACUCCACUACUUUCUUUAGUUAAAACAUGUGUCAUCAUAUUAUUUAUGUCAUCCUCUUCUAAAUAUGGAUUUUGCUGCUUUACCACAAAUUUUACCAUUUCCUCUAGAAUUUCAAUUUUCUUCGUCAUGCCACUCACUUCAUUUGCAUGUUCAUUUCUUAUAGCAACAAUUUCUUCCUUUUUUUUAAUGUUGAUGGUGUCAUAGUCUUUCCAUAACAUCGUACUCUCCCGGGUUUCUCUUUACCAAAUAUUGAUGAAAUGCUUGUUCCGCAUAUUCACUUGAAUUUUCAAUAGAACCUUGAAGCUUAGUCUAAUAAAAGAUAAUGAAUUUUAAUUAUUAAAAAUAAUAUAUUUAUAUGCACUUCAUAAAUAUUUGUAAACUUACAAUGAUAUUGUAUGUUUCUUCAUCCAUUUCUUUUCCUCUUCGGCCUUCUCGACGUUGACGAGUUGUAAUAAACAUUUCCGCUUGAGUAACUUUUUCUCCUACCUUUUUCUUAGCACGCUACAACAAUUACAUAUUAAAAAACAAUAACAAAAAAUUAAUAGGAUGUUUUUGUAUUGGAUUUAAAAUAUUCAAACAUAAUUAGAAGUAUCUUACUAAUUCAGCAUGAAUUCUAGCAAAAUUGGUUGGUCCCAUACAAUGAAUGUACUUUUGUUGUGUCCUAUUUGCAACAUUUUGCUCACUAAUUCUCUACAUUGUAAUAAGAUAAAAAUAACAAUGAAUUUAGAUAAUAAUUCAAUUUUAAAAUAAUAAGACAUUAAAUUAUAUAACCUUCAUAGUGCUAGUGUUCCAAUAUUUCAACAAUUGUUUGAAUUAGCCCUUUCCACUAGUUUAAAACUGUGAAUUAAGAAAAACAUACACAUAAGUGGCAGUUAAAGACAAAAUUUAACCAAAAUGCAAGUUGUACUUGGACAGAUUGUAGCAAUUUAUUUGCUGAACUUUGUAGUUUCUUAAGUUAUUAUGAAUAUGUUGUUCCAUUCAAUUGAUAAAACAAUAACAUUCACAAAAGGUUAUUAUCAAGUUAAGAUGACAAUAUAUUUGUUUUUACAGGCAAAUAUCUAGGCUCUCAAAUCUCUGCUUGCUCCUUAUAUCAUCUAUCUUUCUCAACAUCCAUACCUUACUUAUCAACAUGUAACUAUAAUUAUGAGUGAAACAGUACAUUACUACAUUGUAGGAGAAAACCUAUGUGUGGUUGAUGUUGUUCUUCCAUCAAAUUGGAGUUUUAUUUUUAUUAUCAUUAUUUAAAGAAAUAUUCAAAAUGUAUAGAAUGGAGGUUAUUUAUCUGCAGUGUGAAUCACAAAAUCGACCUUUAUCAGACACAAACCAAAUCUUUACUUUGACAAUAAGGUAAAAGAUUUUCAAUUUACUACAACUAUUUUUCUGACGGUAAUUGUGACCUCAUCCACAAUGUUUUCCACAAUUUGCUGUCGUAUUAAUGAUUUGUGACUAAAUUACAACCACGAUUUAAAACCAUACACAAGUCCUUAAUUUUAUACAUAGUUUUAUAAAUUAAAGUUUGUGUUCCUGUCACUAAAUUAUUCAAAUUCGUAUCAUGCUAUUUCUUAUGCUUGAUUGAAGUGAACUUUGAAUGUAAUAGAUUGUGAAUAAUUAUUAACAGGUGAUGGUAUUCUGUUUCUAAGACACUUAGGGGUGUUUUAACCCUUUUAAGAAGAAAAUCAAGUCAAUCUACAUUAGCCAAUAACAAAGACCAAAGUGCAGAUUUUCCACCUAAGAUACAAAUAAAAAUCUCUCACCAACAAAUUACCCAAAAACAGAUUCUAUCUAAUAUGUAGUAGCUAGGCACAAAUAUGCAACUUUUAUUGUGCAACAAUAGCAGCGACACCUACCAAGGUUUGAAGAUUUCACAUGCCAAAAUCAAUCAGGAAAAAGUCAAUAAGUCUUGGAAGCUAUAACUUGUCCCUUUGCACUCGUUCACACCUUAAUCUCUUUUAUGAAUUUCUAACUAAUAGCGUUGCCAAGCCAAGUUUAGCAUCAUUUUGUUCCUUAAGUACCUUCAAAUUGUUGCUCAUUGAUACAAGGCAUCACAAGGGAUGAGUGCAAAGGUAGAAGCUCAAGACAAUCAUUGACUAAGAAUGCUCUUUCCUUAAGAGCAUGAUUGGCACUAGCAAUUCCAUCCCAGGCACAGACAAUCAACACUAUUUUAACGAUCCUAAUAUGCCUAGUACAAACCCUAAAAAACAGGAUUGGCACCCAUCCAGAAUACGCACAUUGAUUCAUAAAUUUAAGACUAAAACUAAGUAUGCAAAUAGGUAAAGAGGCAGAAAAAAAAUUUGGGUAAAAAAACAAAAAGCAAGUCAAAGAAAUCACAAACCUUUAAGUUUCACCGCAAACGGCAAACACUUUACCUCCUCACAACGAACAACUUCGUUUGGCUCCAGUGGUCACCGAUUUCAUCGAAACCCUUUACCUCCUCACCGCGAAGAACUUCGUUUGCCCUAGGGUUUCCAACGCACACCAGCCAAGUCCAGAAUUUGUGAAGAAGAAAGCGCGCAUAAAGAAGAAGAAGAAGGUGAUGAAAUUUGGGCAGAAGAAGGCGCUGGAAUUUGGGAAGAAGAAGGCGCUCAGGGUCAGAGUGUGAAACUAGAGCAUGGGAAAUGAAAUAAUGAAGUAAGGUGGAGACGUGCGUUUUCACUUACGAGAGAGGGAAUAAUACAAAAAGAGUUUCCCACAAACUGAAAUUUAGUCUAUAUUUUAUUUUAAUGUUUUUUUAAACCAAAUAACCACACGUAAAUCAACGUGGCCUAAAGGGUUAGCAGUUUUAAAACCAUGGCCUAAAAUAUCCACGGUUUUAUACGCGUGGCAUUUUAUAACUUUUAAGCCACAUUUAUAAAAGUGUGGUCCUUACUAUGUUUAGGCAACACUUUUAUAUGUGUGGUCUAUUCUAGCGUUGCCUAAGGUAAAAAAUGUUGUAGUGAAGUAAUCAACGUCUCUGUUAGAAAAGGAAGAAGAAGAAAUUAUUAUUCAUUGAAAUUUGAAAUAGUGAUGACUAUUAUACGACAAGUGUACCGCAUCAGAAAUAAUAAUUUGUCCCUAAGGACGGAUAUCGAACCCACAAGCAACAGUUGAAUUAUCAAGUAUAAGAUUUACUAAAUAGAAAACAAAAUAAUAAAUUUUGUUUUUGCAAGAAUUAUAAAGAAAGCAAGUUAAAGAGUUUGUUAGUUCAAUUGGGAAAAUUGGAAUUGGGGUUCAUCCUCCUUACUCUUUUGUAUUUUGAAAAGCAUAGUAAUAUUAUAUUCUUUUAUUGAUGUUGAGACCCAUAUAAAAUUCAUUUAUAUUAAUUCCUCACAUAUAAAAUUAUUAAAAGAGUCUCCAAAAUCUCGAUUCCUCGCAUAUUUAUAAAAAAACUCUUUAGCAUUACGAUUAGAUGUUGAUAGCAAUUAACAUUUCAAAUUUAUUCAUAACAUUCAAAUAUGUUUAGUAUUAUCAUUUGGGUCAGAAACUUAGAGAUACUUUUCAGUCAAAUCUAAGGAUUUAGAUCAUGAUAAACAAGCAUUACAAAUAAAAUAACAAUAUCAAUCAUCAAUCAAGAAUAGAAUAUUAUAUUUAACUAUCAGCUCAAAAUAUAAGAGUUUGAACAUAUUACUCUUAAUUCCAAAUGUAGAAUUAGCCAUCAUGUUGGCUAUUACAAGCAUGGAAAGUAAGAAAAAAAGAUUCAGAUUUCUCCUUGACAGUUGCCUCCUCUAGGGUUUUCUAACACCUUUUAUUCUUCCAAUUGAUUGUUAGAGUUGUGCCUCACGCCUAUUUAACCUAGUUGGGCUUGGGCUAAGUGACUUCUCGCCUGAGUGUGAAUGGGCUUGCUUAGGCGAGUUCGAUGAAAACAAGCCCAACGUCUCUGAAGUGAUCUUGCUUAGAUGAGAUUGGGCUCGCUUGGGCGAGAUCCUCUAGAGUUUCUAGCUUAGGCGAGCUUGGGAGAGUGUUGGAGUGUUCCAACUUUUCCUUUUUAUCUUUGUUUAUUCUUCUUUUGUCCUUUCAUCUCCAUUCUUCUCUAUAAUCCUAAAAUUAACACAAAUUUGGUAAUAAAUCGCUCUUAUUCAAAUUAUAAUCACAGGUAGAAGAAGAAGAAGAAGAUGAUGAUGAUGAUGAUGAUGAUGAGGAAGACGAGUGAGAGGUCAUGAGAAGAGAGAGGAAAAAAAUCAUUUUGGCUCAGGAUACCAUGUUAGAAAAGGAAGAAGAAGAAAAUAUUAUUCAUUAAUGGUUAUUUGAAAGGGUACAUAAGAAAGCUAUAUAAAGAGCAAACAUAGUUGCAAUUAGAAUUGAAUAACAACUAACUAUCUAAUAGUCUCAGUAUAACUGUAAAUUAAACAUUGUACUCGUACAAUGUCCUUGAUCCCAGAUGAAGAUAAGUGAGCAUUCAAUCAUUCUCAAUAACUGCUUUCAAAAGGACAACAAAAACUCAUUUGCAUAUUGAAUUAUUGAUAUGAAAAUAGAAAAGUUACAAUCGUUGACCAAACCAUCAAAUCUUGAAGUUAUUAGAUAUUAAAGAGAACAUUUAAAUAUAAGAAAGAACAAACAUUUUGCACUGUAGGUUGUGAAGCGUAACAGACAAAGGGUUCAAAGUGAAAUUUAAAUUACUAACCAAGGUGGUAAGGAGGUUCUCUUUAGAGACCUUGCUUUGACUUAUCAUCAGAAAGAGGAAGAUGUCCACCUAUAAAAGACUCUUUGAUGCUUAAGUCAGUAAGAAUUCUUAUGAUAAAAUAUAUGUAAAAAGAUAAAUUGUAUACUUCCUGAAGAGUUUCUAUUUAUAGGCUCUUUGGAUAGUGAUCGUUACACUACAAGAAAAUCAUGAAAUAGAAAUAAAUUUUUAGAGACAAAAAAUAAUUAGUUGCUAUAGUGACUAAAUUAGAGAUUGUUUUAGAGAUUAAAAAAAUUUUGGUUUCUAAAAUAGUUUAUAUUAUUGUUAAAUAGUUUCUAAAUUAGUGUGUAAUUAGCAACCAAGGUUUUUGCUACCAAAUUUAGAAUCUAAAUAAUUGGUAGCAAAAAUCUUGGUUGUUAAUUAGACACUAAUUUAAAAACCAUUUAAAUAUAAUAGAAACUAAUUUAGAAAUCAGUUGUUUUUUAAUCUCUAAAAUGAUCUCUAAUUUAGUCACUAUAACAACUAAUUAUUUUUUAUCUCGAAAAAUUGGUUUGAAUUACCAUUAUGAUUAUUGAAUCGGUUGUUUGCUCUCAUUCAUUGGUUAAAUAUAACAUUAAGAGCUCGGUUACCCAAUGUUGGACAUUUCAUCAAACUCCGAAUGUUUCCGAUCACGUUAAGGGUAGGUACAAGUCUUUUUUUAAUUUAUUAUAUUAUACACUUGUUUUAAUUUUUUUACUUUUACAUAAUAACUUUCUACUCAAUUUCAUUCACUUUUUACUUUUACUCAAUUCAAAUAUCUUCAUUUUUCACUAUUUUUUUUUUCUUUUCACUCUCCAUUAACUGAAAGAAAUCAUAAAGCUAGUAUUCAAAUAUAUAACUCUAAUUAACAUAACAAUAUUUUUCAUCCUUUCUGAUUGGGGUGGGAAGUCGAAUAUUUUCCCACUUUAGAAACAAUGAUCUCUAUAAAGAGUACAAGCUUGUGAAAUUUAAUCUAAUACAUUCUCUUAAUCUUAUUUUGUUUUGAACUUUUGCCACAUUUUUAUUUUGUCUUGACGUUUUAUAAUAUCAACAUAACAUUGAAAAAGAUAUACUAUAAUUUUAAUCAUUAAUAGCAAUGAAAAAAAUAAAAGCAAAUAUAAAUAUGAGAGAAUUUAGCUAAUAUUAAAGAAAACAAAAACAUUAAGAAAUCACAUAAUUUCUAUAACAUAUAAAAUAGAGGUUAUUGUUGAUUGCAUUGGUUGAUUUUUAUAACUUUAAACCUAGAAAUAAAAUAGAGAAUAUGCUGCAACAAAUUGGAAUGGUAUGACUCAAUGAUUCUAACAGCUUGUAAUAUAAGUUCUUAAGGAUAAAGUUGGAUGAGAGAUUUGAAGCCACAUAUAGGGGUGAUGUCGUAGCUGCUGAAGCCUGCAUCGUAAAUAAUUUUCUCCCACUCUUUUCUGUCUCUUUCUUUUCCAUUGAACAUAGUGAGCAUCACCAAGUCAUAGUCCAUCUUCAACUCUGUCAAUUCGCGAUCAUCACUUGUUUCAUCAAUAGCUAUGUCUAUGAUUAUCACUUUUCCUUCUUUCCCUUUCCCUGAAAUCGCUUCUUUGCAGUUCUUCAAUAUCUUCACUGAGAGCUCGUCGUUCCAAUCAUGCAGAACCCACUGCAAAACAAUCGAUCUUAUAGUUACUGCGGUUUAAAGCCAAGUUUAAAGGAAAACGAAUAUAAUUUAGAGUAGAUAAAGUUAUACCUUGAGUAAAACUGCAUCAGCAGAAGGGAUGGAUUUGAAAAUAUCUCCACCAAUAAAGUUCAAAUUUUCUGUUCCAGUCAUGUUAGCCACAACCUGUGGUUGAUCAAACACCGUGCAUUUCAUGUGAGGGAAGAGUUCAUUGAUGAGCCUGGUGAGAGUACCAGUCCCACCUCCCACAUCGACAAGGGAACCCAAUCCCUCAAACACAUGCUUGCACUCUUCCAGAGCUAUCUUCAACAUUCCAGAAUCUGCUGCCAUGGCUUCUUGAAACAUGUUAAGCGUAUCAGAUAGUGGUUUUGUUCAGAAAGUCCCAGAAACUCUCCCCCUUGGCACUCUCAUACAGUGAGAGUUCCUUCUCAUCCUCAGUGAACCACUUCUUGGAGGAGUGCCACAUGUCGAUGGAACUCGAAUGAAGCGCGCCCUUAACAAUAGGAGCCAAACACGUUGACUUGCUUCGGAUUAGAAGCUUGGAAGGAGGGGUCAGAUCAUACACUGUUUCUUCUCCUCCUCCUCCUCCUUCUUUACGUGACGCCACUGUUGUUUUGGCGAAGAACCCAUUAUGUGUUAGAAGGCGCAUGAAUCGGUGGAGGACAGAGACUUUUGAGGGGUGCAGUUUCAGUGCAGAGGCUAACUCAGAAACGGUCAUGGCUUCUCCGUGGCUGUGGAUUGCGUCCGCAACACCUAAUUCCAUGGCGGACUUGAGGGCCAUGGAGCUCACGAAGUUGUAGACGUGUUUGUAGAGGUGGAUUUGAGCGUGAUACAUUUCACUCUCUUCUCUGCCGUUGCUACAGAAACCCAUUUUUGUUUUGAACGUACUUUGUUAAGUUUAUGGUUUUCGAUGGAUACGUAGAAGUAGUAGUAGUUCAGGUUUUAUGUGUUUCAAUUGAGGUACAAAACAAAUACUAAGAUAAUGGGCGUGUCCUUUGUGAUGUGGAAUUAAUACUUGGCAGUGGUGGGAAUCUUGUGGGUUAUGGUCGGCCAUAUGAAGCGUUCGUAAGUUACUAAGUUUCACUAGUUUACUAGGGUUUUACUAGGGUUGUGGUUGGUGGAUUUCGGGUAGGUGUGAAUCUAUGAUAAUGAUUGGUUGCCUCGGUGUCUCUUUUUGCAUGAGUCAACACUUAUUUUAUACACUUAUAAUGUUUAAGUAUAUGUGGCUUAAAUAUGUUUUUUUGGUCUUAAAACAUUGGUUUUUGUUUUUGUCAAAUUUUAAAACAUGAAAUUGGUUGUUGUUGUUAUUAAAUUUUAGAUUAUAAUAUAAAAUAUUGAAAUGAAUUUUUAUGUAAAAUGAUUAUUAGUUUUUUUAAAGAUUAUUAGUUUUUUUAAAAUUUAGUAUUUUGUGAUGUUAUUACUUGAUUGAUGAAGUAGAAUCAAAAGUUGAAUAAUUCGAAGAAAGAUUUAUUUCAAUUAUUUUUAUAUUAUAAACAUUUGGAUAUGGUGUAAAAUUUGAAAAAAAAAAUUUCAUAUUUAUAGAAAAAAUAUAUAUUUAACUAAAUAUAUAUACUAAGAAAAACUUUUCUUUUGACGGUUUCUUUAAAAAAACUUCCAAUCAACACUGCAACUCUCUAGUGUCAACAUAUAACUACAGUGAAAGAAGGAAGAAAAGCAUGAUGAUUAAAUAGUUAAAAGAUGUUGCAGGAUAUAAUAAUUUUAAAAUAUUGGAAUAUGGAGAGAGAUAUCAAUGAAAAUGUAAAUUAAAUAUAUUUUUUAAUAUUUUAAUUAUAUCAUGUAAAAUCUUUUAAUUAUUAUUUUUCUUACCUCCGGAUUCUAUUAGGUUUCUUUGCAUAUAUUUCUUUCUGGAAAUAGUUUGGUCUCACUUGUUCAACUUUGUGUUUUCUCUUCAAUUCCACUUCAACUCUCUAAAAUCAUAUUUUAUUUUCUAAAAAGUGUAAAUUGUUGGGUAUGAAGUCAUGACCAAUUGGAUUGGGCUGACUAGACACCAUGUUUAGUGAGUGAGUUUAAUCAUUGUGUCCCUUUUAUAAUCUCUAUUUAAAGAGAAUAUUGUACUUGUAAUUGGUGUGCAACAGGACAUAAUGAAAACCUAAUAGUUGCCCGUGUGGAUGUAGGUUGCAGUUGGCAACCGAACCACGUUAAAUCUUGUGUCGUUUAUUUUCUGCAGUUGAUUCGUGAUUAUGUGUGUUGUUUCCGCGUGCGUUUUUCCCAUCAAGUGGCAUCAGAGCUUGGUUCGUUUACACACUAGAGAUCCGAUCAGUAGAAAUUAAUCAACGAGACGUGAAAAUGGCGAUAGCAGCGUCCCAAAACUAGGGUUUCGCAAAGGUGGCAGUAGCGUCCCAAAGCUAGGGUUUCGCAGGGGUUGUAGUAGCAUCCCAAAGUUAAGGUUUCGCAGAGGCGACAACAAAAUCCCAAAGCUAGGGUUUCGCAGGGGCUGCAGCGGCGUCCCAAAGUUAGGGUUUCACGAUGGCCCAAGAUUCGCGUGUGCGUAGUAGGCGGUAUGACGUGCAGUGGUGUAGGUCGCGACAAGAGUGGUGGUGGCUCGCGCGUUGUGCAGGUGGCUUGCUCGCAGUAGGGUCAUAUCCAGGCAGUGUGGCAAAGUGCGUCGGUGCGGCGACAAAUCACGUUUCGUGGCGAACAGGUGCAGGCGCUUGCGGUGAGCGAGACGGCACGAAGAUGUAGUGCAAUGGCAGUGACAGAAGACGCAGGGUGGCACGUGCAUUUUUCUGUUGGUGCAACAGUGACGGUGCGGUGCUAAGCGCGAGGUGUGGCCGUUUUUCACUGCGAUACAGAGUUAUGACAGUUCAGUUACUGAGAACAUGAAUAUUCGAUCUUAGCCAGACUUACGUCAGUGGGCAUUAAGUUCAAUGAUGAAGUUCAAUCUUUACUAUUGCUAUUGUCUUUUUUCGACAGUUGGUCCGGAACGGUUACCACAAUUACCAGUUCAGCAAGAUCCGAUGGAUUCACUUUUAAGAAGAUUUGUGAUCUCAUUCUUGGGGAGGAUGUCCGAAGAAGGAGUUCUGGGGAAUUAUCUAGUGAAUCACUAUAUGUCAUCAGAGGUAAGAUAAAUAUUAGAGAUAGUGGGAGCAAGAACAAAAGAAGGAGUCAGUCAAAGACUCAUGAUUGCUCAAGUGUAACAUGUUGGAACUGAAAGGAGGUGGGGCAUUUCAGGAAUCAAUGCCCAAAUGAUAAAUAAGUCAACAUUGCAGAAGACUUCGUGGACGAGGACCUUUUAGUCUGUUGCGCAGAUAACAAUGUGGAUUCCUGGGUCAUGGAUUCUGAAGCAUUACAGAAUCUAGUUAUUGGAGACUUUGGAAAGGUAAGACUAGCAGACAACAAAGCUCUUGAUAUUACGGGCAUGGGUGACAUAGUGUUGAAGACACCAGUUGGUUUUUGGACUUUGAAGGAUGUCAGAGUUGUUCCAAGCUUGACGAAAAGUUUGAUUUCUGUUAAGCAGCUGGACGAACAGGGACAUUAAGUGAAGUUCGAAAAUUAGCAGUGGAAGGUCGUCAAGAGAAAUCUUGUCAUAGCCUGUGGAAGAAAGAGAGGUUCGUUGUAUAUGGUCGGAUUACCAUCUUAGAGAGUGACCAUCCCAGUUCAGAAGAUAAACAAAGUCCGGUUCACAGAAUCUCGUGGGCAGAAGAGGGUUGUCUUUACAAGAGAGAAACCUAGAGCCACAGGUCAGAUUCAGGAUGAGCGAGCAUGGAAAGGUUCAGGUAGACCAGUUAGAGGUACUUAUGGCAGUGGGAGCACGGGUCGUGCUUCAGCUGAGGUUCCUAGACGACAGUGGGUUAGGAGAACCAGUAUUGCAGCGGUUGAAACUUCUCCAGAAAAUUUCUUGUUGAAUAUGGAGAGUGUUUGUUCUCGGGUUGUUAUAGGAUCCGACAGUUCUUGCAAGUGGGAGCCGGUAGGAAUAGAGAACGGGUCAGUGACUGACGUGUUGAAACUCAGGGGAGUUUUAAGGAAGUCUUCAAAAUGAUUAAAAAGGCUGGUGGCAACUAGAGGUGGAACAUUGAGUUCCGUCGACAGAUUAUAGAAGUACAUGUACACAGUUGAAGUGCAGGUGAACAUUGUUCCGUGGCUUCAAGUGAGAGAUUGUUGGGUAUGAAGCCAUGACCAAUUGGGUUGGGCUGACUAGACAUCAUGUUUAGUGAUUAGGUUUAAUCAUUGUGUCCCUUUUAUAAUCUCUAUUUAAAGAGAUCAUUGUACUUGUAAUUGGUGUGCAAUACGACAAAAUGAAAACCUAAUAGUUGUCCUUAUGAAUGUAGGUUGCAGUUGGCGACCAAACUACAUUAAAUCUUGUGUCAUUUAUUUUUCUACAGUUGAUUCGUGAUUAUGUGUGUUGCUUCCGCUGCGUUUUUUCCAUCAUAAAUGACGUUCAUGAGUUGGAUAACCAACUUUGUGAUGAAUUUAAAAUUUAAAAUCUGUAAUAAAAAAAAACAGGUUUAGACAUAUUAAAAUAGUUUUACAGUAUUCAAGAUAAAUCAGGUGCUUCUGCAGCAGACCAGUAGAGCAAUAGAAACAGAAUGGGGACUGGUGUAGGCUAUUUACUUAUGUAGUAGUUUAAUUUGUAUUGUCUUAAUGUUUUGGGGUGUUAUUGUAGAGGUCCUAUAACAUGGUUCGGAGUGUGUAAAGGAUUGGGAUACCCCUUUUGUAUCCCUUUAAUUUAAUUUCAUUCUUUGCUGAAAGAAAAAAAGAUAAAUCAGUUGAGUGACUAACAAUCAUAUUAUUAGGCAUGUUAUUUGUGUAUGACAUAAUGUGCCGAAACACAUGGUAAAAAAAAUACAAAUUAUACUGAUUUGAAAAAAAAAAAUCGAUGAGUUAUUCAGAGAUUAUCUGAACCUACACAACACCCAUUCUAUAAAAUGAACCUACACAAUCAAGUAUAAAAUAUUUGAAUUAUAUUUUUUAUCGUAAGUUUGUAGCUUAUGUGACUAUCUAUAUUUUUGUCACCAUUUAUACUUCCUCAUUCACGUCAUAGAAACUGUCAAAGUUUUCUUUAUUUUGAAACCCCACUUCCAUAAUAUGUUUAAUAGCAAUAAAAUAAAGAUAAAAAUAAAAUAAAGAAAAAACUACAAUAAAAAUAUUAAAUAAAAAAUAUUUUUAAAAUUUAAAAAUAAUUAAUCUAGACUAAAAUAUAUAUUAUUUUAGAAAUUAUAAAAAUUAUUAAUAUCUAACCCUACAAGAAAAUUAUUGAAUAAAAACAAAUUUUAAUUAGUUGUUAUAGUGACUAAAUUAAAUAUCAUUUUAGAGACUAAAAAAAACUGGUUUCUAAAUUAGUUUAUAUUAUUGUUAAAUAGUUUCUAAUUUGGUAUUUAAUUAGCUACCAAAUUUUUUGCUACUAAAUUUAUAAACUAAAUAAUUGGUAGUUAAAACUUUGGUAGCUAAUUAAAUAUCAAUUUAAAUAUAUAAUAUAAACUAAUUUAGAAAAAAAAAUUAUUUUAAUCUCUAAAAUAUCCAUAAUUUAGUCACUAUAGUAACUAAUUAUUAUUUUUUUCUAAAAUUGAUUUCUAUUCAAUGAUUUUUAAUUUCUAAAAUAUGUAAAAUAACUUUUAUUAUUAAUAAAUAAUUUUUAAUUAAUAUUUAAUUAACUAUCAAAGAUUUUAGCUACCAAUUAAACUAAAAAUGUUAAUGGUUAAUUUUCUAUCUAUAAACACAUCAUAAUUACUAAAAAUAAAACAAAUAAACUAACUAUGUUAAUCAUUAACAAAGCUUAAAUAAAAUUAAAUUAACAAAAUUAAAAUUUUUUAUAUUAAGAUAGUAAUUUUUUUUAUUAUACUAAAAAGUAAAAUAUGUAAAUAUUUAUUAUUAUAGGUAUAUCUAAACACUAAACCCUAAAUCUUAAAAUAUAUAAAUUAUUAUUAUAUUAUUUAUUUAUUCAUGUGCUUCUUAUUUAUUUUUUUCAAAGAAACACCAAAAAAAAUACAUCUAUUUCUCGUCAAUUUUCCUACACAUAAUUACUUUCAGUUAUUUAAAAGAAAUACUUAUUUCCUAUCAAAUACAAGUAAAAGUUGGUGUCAUGGAUGCUUCUUUACGCGGUAGUUAUUUUUUAGGUAUUUUUUUAAAAGAUAAAAAAUAAAUGAAUGAGUUCUAACAUAACUUAUGGUAAACGUGUAUUAAAUAAAUAGCUAUAAUGUUAGUCUUCCUUUAUAUUUCACUACUAAAACUUGUGUUUUUAAGGUUUUUAAGUUGGGUUAUGAUAAAACCUAUAACAAAUGUAUUUACCAAUAUUUUUAUAACUCCUGACUACAUAAUGGAUUUUGUGAAAAUCCUAAGUAAAAUUGUUUAAUUUUAAAAGAUUUGUAAUUUUGUUUUAAUUUUUUUACUUACUUUUCCUUUGUUUUCAUCUUAAACCUUCCCUUUUUUAUUUGAUGAAUUUUUCAAUCUCUUUUCAUUUCUUUCAUGAAGAAGUAAUUACUCCUCAAAUUUAGACCAAAAGUUAUUUUAUAUCUUUAAUUUUGUUGUUAUUUAGUUCUUUUUAUUAAUAAAAAUAAAUAAAAAUAUUAAAAGUACUUCACUUCAUAUAAAAAAAAAUGUAGCAAAACACAACAUACAUGAUCCCACAUUAAAAUAUGCUCCAGUAUCAUCAAAGAUGAGUUUUGGAUGUUUAUUGAUCACAAUGAUUUUUUUUAUUUGAAAAAAUAUAAAUUAAAAAAAAUUACUUAAAAGAUAUCUCAACCCUAUUAUAAAAUAGAAAAUGAUAAUAAAUGAUUUACCUUCAUUUAGAACUUCCACGUAGAAAGAAUGUGUUAUUGAAUAAGAGGAAGAGAAGAAGACAAAAACGAUGUCAUUAAAUAUAUAUUUUGAGAGUAUAUUGUAUGAAAUAUAUUAUUUUCUUUCUCUCUUUUAUUAAUUUAUAAAAAAAGGUUAUGCUCCACAUAUUGGUGUGUUACUUUAACUAUUUUUUUUUAAUAGCAAUUUUGUUAAUUUGCUAUUGCUUCUUGUUAUUAUUUUUAUGUAUUACGUUCUAUCGUAAACUUGCUUCACCAUCGACAAAAAAAGGAAGCCAUGAUUAAAUUUGAUUGAAAGCAAUUGAUGUUGUCUUCUCUCUGUGUCAUUCUUCAUUUGUUUUCUAUCUAUAAUAAAAUCAUAAAAAGAUACUUAUCUCCUACUUGAAUAUUAUAGUUGAUCAAAUUAUCUCCUUUUUAAAAUUAUAAAAUCAAUAUUAAUAAUGAAAUCUUAUCUGCAUAUUGUAUUUUAUCAAAUUCUACUUUGUAUAAUCAGUUUUCAUCAUUAGUUUUUUUUUUCUCUAAAUGCUAGAUGAAUGGUAAUACAUCUUUUAAGUAAUAUUAUAACUACAAAAAAAAAUAAAUAGAAACUAAUUUUUAGAGACUAAAAUAAUUAGUUACAAUAGUAACUAAAUUAGAGACCAUUCUAGAAACUAAAAAAAAUUGUUUAUAAUUAGUUUCUGGUUUUUAAAUUGGUAUCUAAUUAGCAACCAACGUUUUAACUACCAAUUAUAAACAAUUUAACAAUAAUAGAAACGAAUAUAGAAACCAAUUUUUGUAAGUUUCUAAAAUUGUCUCGAAUUUAGUUACAAUUGUGACUAAUUAUUUUGGUGUCUAAAAAUUGGUUUCUAUUUCAUUAUUUUCUUACAGUGUAUCCAAUACUAUAUUUUUUAUAUCAAAUUAUUUAGUUAUUGUCUAUUUUUAUGCGUGUAUUGUUAUGUUUUUUUAAUGAGGUGAAAUUAUUUUUUACCCUUCCCAAAAUUAUCAUAAGGGGCAUCCACUUCUCUAAUUUUGAAAUAGAUAUGGUUUUUUUUAUUUUUUUAAACAAAAUGAUAUUGAAAUUCUUAUAGGUUUUAACUUUCUUUAUAGUUUUAAUAAAUGACAGUAAAAAUCUAUAUUUUUAACAAAAUGAUAAUUCUUCUUAUUUUAUUUAAAAUGACAUGUUUAAGAAAGCUUGAAUAAAAAUUAUAAAUAUUAAAACUAAAUUUUUAAAAUAUAUAUUUUUUACAAAAAUAUUGGAUAAUAUCAAAAUGAAAAUAUGUUUUCUCAUAAGUAUAAUUUUUUUUUUAUAUUUUAUAAGAUAAUUUACAAUAUAUAGACAAUAUAGUUUUUAAUGAUAUUUUAAAUAUAUAACAAUUAUAUUAUUAUUAUUUAUCUAAAAUUUAUUUAAUUUUAUAAUUUAAUUUUUUAUAACUUUUAUAUAAAUUUUAGUUAAAAUAUUUUUUUAAAAUAAUAUAAAAAAUUAAAUGUAAAUUUAUUAGAAUAAAUAUUAUUAUACAUCUCAUAUAUAUAUAUAUAUAUAUGUAUGAAAAAGGAAUGUAAGUAUCCUUUAUUAUCUUUAUUAUUAUAUUAUGUUAGUGGUUUUUUUUACAAUUACAUGUUUCCAUUCAAGUAUUAAAACAAACCAAUAAAUAUUAAAUCCUAAACUAUAAACCGUUAAACCGUUAAGUUUUGAAUAUCUACCAAAAUGAUAUAUUGACAAUUUCAAAUUAAUUACAUUGCAACUUUCUAUUAUUAUUUUAAUAUUUUUUAUAUCAUUUAAUUAUAAAUUUACUUUUUAUUAUAUAUAUUUAUUUCUAAAUCUAUUUAUAUUAGAGUUGUAUAAAAAAAUUAUCAAAAUAUAUUUUCCAAAUUAAAAUUGAAAUCAAAAUAGGAUUUCAUGUCUGAUAUCUUUGUGAUUUGAUAUUACACCAUAAAUAUAGUAUUCAAUUGAUGUAAAUAAAGUUUGAAAAACAAUUAUAUUAUAUGAAACUUCAUAAGAUGAUUCUGGUCACACCAUGAAACUUAAUGACAUUUGGAUGCUCAAUGGCUGGUAUCUAAUAUUUAAGUUGACAAGUUCUUUCAACUUUAUUUAUCUGUUCAAAGCCAUUGUUUAUGCUUUUUUUUAACUCAAAUAAGCAGUAUCAAUGAUUAAGUGAUUCUCUUCGAUUCCUCUAUUCAGCCUUUUAUAAGUUCUCUCAAUUUCUGGGUCCAUUGAGUAUAGAGAAUUUAACAUGUUUCUUGUCAUACAUCUCUUUUGGACCUUUCAGUACAAGAUGUAACAGAGACUUGAUAAAAUAAACACCCAAUAGAAUUUUAAUGGUGAAAUAACAAAAACUAAAAUAAAAUGAAUAAAAUAAGAAAAGAAAGAGAGAGAAAGUAUGAAAAGUUUGCACCAGUCCCUUUUUGGUUUUUUAAAAAGAGAGGAGAAAGAUGAAAGGCAAAUUUUCCUACACCCAAUCAUUACCUGUACCCUAUACAAUUUUAAAUUUUCUCAACUCAAUAUAUUAUGAUUUUAAUUAUAUUUCAAUAUAAAUUAUUAAUAUAUAUUAUUAUAUUAUUAAAAUAGAUUAUAAAGUAAAAGUGUUUUGUUUUAUAUGGUGUAAGAGAAUCAUUUUUUUCCAUUCUCCAUUCCACACUUGUAGUUAGUGCAUUCACAUAAAAACAGAAAGACUCAUUCUUGUUAAAAAGAAUCUAGAUAUCUUGAAAAUCCAAACAAUGAAUUGCUCUAUAUUACAUCUGUUAAAAGUAGAAUUGUUUCUUUUAGGAUCUCUACCAUUCACCAUGGAUUUAGGCAUGUUGUUGUGUGAGAAUUACCGUGUGACGAUUUGGUGAGCUUGGGAAACUCUCUCAAACUUAGGCUUAUUUUUUUAUUUUUAUGAUGUGUUUACAAAAGAAUAGUAAGUUCUUUGGUUGAUUUUUUAGUAUUACGUAUUAUUGGUUUGCGUUAUUGGAGUUCUUUGCUUUGGUUCAUCUGAUGAACCUAAGUGAGGUUAGUCAACACUUAAUUUUUAAAAUGACGUUGUGCUAACACUAUUAAGAGUUAGUAGUAUAAAAAUUUGUCUAGCAAGAGACAACUCUGGAGAAAACUUUUAACAAGUAAAAGUGUCUCACAAAUAGAACAAUAUUUUAUUAUUCAAAUCAAAGUUACAUUUACAAGAUAUUCAUAUUUAUAAGAGAAAGUAUCUCAAAACCUCUCAAAUGAGAAUGUGACAAGUGUCACCUUCUUAUUGAUGCAAAUCCUCUCUAUUGGAGGAGAGUGACAAGUGAUAUGUCUUCUUUGGAGAAAAAUACCUUCUAUUAAGGAGAACAUGUGGACUUUCAUGGCAUCUUUACCCUUAUUUUUAUUUUCACGUUUCUUUUUUCUAUUUUACACUCUAUUAUCUUUUUUAUUUACAUCAUACUCUAUUUUGGUCCAAACUAUAAUGUCCAAAAUUUCAUAACUAUUCUAUAUAAUUUUUACAAGACUAAAAAAGAAAACUCUAGAAUAUCUUCAUUAAUGCCCCAUCUUCUUAUAUUUUUUAUGCCAAUGUGACAAGCUUUAUAUGUGGUUGGUGGCUAAAGUGGUUUUGGUAUAAGAAGGUGCAAUUCCUCGUUUAAAAAAAAAAAAUCUGAAAUGUUAUACCUACACUAUUGCAGUUUUUAUUUUAUUUUAUUUUCUCCCUAUUUCAAACAUCACUCUUGUUCACCUUUUAAAGAAAAUCCCAUUAUGUUUUCUCUGCCCAUCUAUUGCCUAUUUAAUGUGAGUGGGUCCCACUGUUUUUAGCUAUGGUGAUAAUUUGGUUAAAGGAAAAUUCUGCAACUUUUUUUUUUGGCACAUUACUUGCUUUCUUGUGUAUGUAGGAUGACAACCAUGCUUAUUUUUCAAUUUUAUGGAAAAGUCUGGGCCCAUCUUGCUGGCCCAAAAUAUUUGCUAUUAGCAACUCGCAUCCUUUAUGUAGACACCUGUUAGUUUCUUAAAAUAUGGGUUUAUUCGUUCGGCCUAGUACUUUUUCUACUCGCCACUCCCUUCUCUAUGUUCCACCGUAGGUUUUUUUAGAAACAUCUUGGAUGAACACGUUGGGCCCAAUGUUUCUACUAUUUACAACCUAAUUUUUACAUAUACAAACACCCACAAUUUUUUUAAAUUAAAAUACAAAAAAAAAUAAUAUAUAUAUAUAUAUAUAUAUAUAUAUAAUUUUUGGCGCUGCACCCAAAUAAAUUUUAGAUAUAUGUAUGACUUCACAUGUCUUCUAUUAUUUAAUACGAUUGUUUCAGUAUUUGUACGUUUUUUUCUAAAAAAAAAUAUUUUCUCUUAAAUAAAAUUCAUGCAAAUAGUCAAACGUGAAUUAUAAAAAUUUAAAAAUUUAAAAUUUUAAAAAUAAAAAAAUUUUAAAAAUAAAAAAAUUUUAAAAAUAAAAAAAUUUUAAACGCUAAAAUUAUCAACACCGACACCUUUUUUUACUGUUUAGAAAUGCGGAAACCCUGAUUUUUAAUUGUAGGAUAAGAUUAAUCCUUGUCAGACCUAAAUAAAAACUUCAAAAUUAAUUUCUUCAUUUUCACAUGUUGUUUUUUUUUUUUUUAGAAAAUAAACAUUCUAAAAAAUCAAUCACAUUUGUUUUGCAUAUUUAAUUAAAGGUACCGUUUUAGGAUCAAAAUUUUAGGGUGCUAACACCUUCCCUACGCGUAACCAACUCCCUCUUCUCUUUUUGAAAGUUUGUUUUCAUUGUCCCUUCGUGAUCCCGAUUGUGACACUUAGAAAACAACUAUCGAUCGAAAGUAUAGUUUCGAAAAAAUUUGAAGAAGAAAACACUAAAAUAGAGCAUCGUCAUUCAAGAUUUUUAAUUCACGGUUACCCAAUUCCAAAACUAAAUUCACUUCAAAAGAUAAAGUGAAAAAUGUAAAGAGUAGAGAGAAGAAGAAUCGCAGGAAAAAUUUAGUAUCCAUUGUUAAAGGAGUAAAAAUGUUGAUUACACCUGCUAUGUGGAAUAAUGUAAUUGGACUGGAGCAUAAUGGAUUCAAGAUUGGUAAAGGAAACACAAUUGAAAUCAGUGAGUUCAACAAGGUGCAGUUCUACUAUUCUUGUUUGAAGGAUCAUAAUACUCCCUUCAAUCGGUUUCAUGUAGGUAAUCUCAAGCUAACUCCAAGAUUUUUAGCCUAUAUUAUUGCAUGGCAGCUAACACCUAGGAAGAGCAACCAUGCUAUGUUGAUUGAGGAGGAUCUAAUACUGAUAUACUGCCUAAUGAACAAAAUAAAGUUAAAUUGGAUUUAUAUGAUGAAGGAACACAAGAUCAAGUCUAAGAGACUUGUUGAUUACAAGUUUCCUUUUGCGGUUGUGGUUUCAAAAUUCCUAGAAUAUUUUGAAGUUGAUGUGAAGGAUGAGUUGAUUGAAAACAUCAAGAGUGGAACUGGAAUAGAUUGUUCAACAUUAAUGAAAAUGGGUUUUUUAAAACGUUAACAAUUUAUGGAUUAACAAAAAUGGUGAUGCUACUGAUAUUCUUGAAUCAAGCAAUGCUGGUGAAGAUGCUCAAGGAAAUUAUAUGAAUGCUUUGGUAGCCCAUAUACCACCAAUGGAGAGAGGUGAACCAUUAUCCAGUUUUGAGAAGGUCAUGCUUCACAGGUUGGACACCAUUUAUGCAUAACAAAGGGAAUAUUUUGAGAUGACCACAUCAAGGUUUCAACAUCUUGAUGAUCAAGAUUGAAGUUGUACAAGAGAAGUUGGUUGAGCUCUACCGCCGUGAUUUUUAAUUUUUUAUGUUUUUCUUAUAAUCAGUUUAAUUUUCAUAUCUGUUGAACUAUUUCAAAUUUUUGGUUUUCUUUUGGGUUUACGAUGCUUGUGUUAUGCAUCUUGAACAUUUUAUAUUUUCCCCUAAGCACUGUUAUUACUAGUUUAAUUAUCUUAUUUUGCUAUGAUUAUUACUAUUUGAUGGAGUAAUAUAUCCAUUCAAAUGGUUUCUUUGUAUAUUUUAUGUUUGAUGAACACAAAGGGGGAGAAAUAUGUGUUUUGUAUAACUGUACAAGUUAGGGGGAGAAAGCUGAAGAACUAUUAUUGUCUUCUUUUCGCCACUGUCUACUGCCUACAAAAGAUAAAUCUUUUUCAAGACUCAAGACUUGCGGCUGAACUAUCUGUCUUCAUCAAAUAGAGGGAGAUUGUAGGACAUCUUAAGGAUCCAACUUUUAUGUUUGAUGAAGCCAUAUGAAGACUUGCUUUCUUACGUGUCUAGGUUGUUUGAUUUUUGUUUUUGUGUCUAUUGAUUUAUCUUUUGCCUUAAGAAAUGAUUAUGAAUCCAAGAACAAAUAUUUUUAAUUGGUUAAAAAGUUUUUCAAUUGGUUUUUAAAUUGUUUUAUGGAAAGUUAUAGUUUUUAAUCUGUUAUCUUUUAAAUCAACUUAUUGAAAAUACUUAAAAUUUUUAGUUUUUUUAAAAUAUGUUUAUAGACUAAAAACUAUGCUUUGCUAUGUAACAUAAGAAAUAUUUUUAGUUGGAGUUCUUUUCAAUUGAUAAAAAUUAGUUUUCAUGCAUAUUACAUUUCUUUAAGUGAAAUCAAUAUAUUGCUUCAAAUUGUUAAUAGGUUGAUUUUACUUAACUGCACCCUUUUAAUAAAAUCUUUUUUUUAUUAAAUUUCUAUAAAAUGGUCUGGAUUGUUUUAGAAAAAGGUCCCUCAUACAUUUUAUAACUUUUACAUAUGAGAGGGUCUUUGUGAUUCAAGUUUUUGUGAGAAAUAAUUUUGAAAGAUCUUUUAGGUUUCUUGGAGCAAAACAUUCAUAAUCUAGGUUGAGGUCAAAUAUAUUUCACUGUUAUUGUGAAUUUGAGGAAUCCAUUUGUGUUUUUUGAUUCACUUUUUAGGUUAAUUCGUUCCUUUUUAUAUUGUAUUUAUGUAUUAGAUUGUGGCCAAUAUAGGGUUUAUUUGUAUGUUUUUAAACUGUGAUAGGGUGUUGCAGUAAGGGGUUUAUGUUCUUGUAGUGUCAAGAAUAGUUUUGGAAUUUCUUGUAAAGAAAUUGUGUUGUUUUAGUGAAAUCCAUCUUGGUGUGAGGUAAGAUUGGAUGUAGGUCUAUUAUGAGUGAUCUGGUAUAAAAUUCUUGGUGUCUUUUCUGUGUUCUUUAAAUCUUUAUGAUGUGGAGUGCUAAAAGUAAGCAUGCAGUCAUUCUCUCACUGAGCUCGGACUUUUGUAAGACUUGCUUGAUAUGAUAGUUUGUGCGAACUGUAAUAUUAAAGCUCCUAAAAUAAUGUCUUAGUCUUCGGGCUGAAAAGACUAAUGUAAGGACAAUUUUUUCUAUCACUUGAUAUCUUUCUUCAGUUGACUGUAGAGUUUGGCUGGUGAAAUAUAAAGGUUGUUGCUUCUUGCCCUCAUCAUAGACCAAGACUGAGCAUAUAGCAUAGUAGGAUACCGCUAUAUAAAGGACUAUAGUUGAGUGUGAGGGAGGACUUACCAAUGUAGGUAACGAUGUUAUGUCUUUCUUCAAUUGGGAGAACAUGUCUUCACAUUGUUGAUCCCAAUUAAAUUCUGUUGCCCCUUUUAGUAGGCGAAAGAAUGGUUUGGUCGUCUAUGGUGGGUGACUUAACCUCCAUGUUAUCAACAUAGACCUCUAUAAUAGUACUAAUUAAGUGAAUGAAGAUUUUUUUCCAUCAAACGUCGAUGAGUAACACUCACAUUUUUAAGACCAAAGGACAUGACCUUGUAGAAAAAUUUAGCACCAUUAGUCAUGAAUAUUGGUUUGUCUUCAUUUGUGGGAUACAUUAUGAUUUGAUUGUAUCCUGAGUAAGCAUAAAGAAAACUAAGGAGUUCAUAUCUUUAGGUGUUGUCAACCAAGCGAUCUAUGUUUGGUAGGGGAUGUGUCUUUUGGGUAGGCUUUGUUCAAGUAUGUGUAAUCAAUGCACAUUCUUCACUUUCCAUUGGCCUUUUUUACUAUGACUAUGUUAGAUAACCAUGUGGUGUAGGUGACUUCUCUGAUGAAAUUGACAUGCAAAAGUUUUUCAAUCUCUUGAUCCAUGGUUAAUCGUCUUUCCUCUUCAACUUUGUGUUUGCAUUGGGCCACUAGUUUUGCUUGCGGCAAGAUGGUUAGCUGAUAACAUAUAAAGUCAUGGUCAAUGUCAGGCAUGUCAGCUGGACUCCAUGGGUCGACAUUACGAAGGAGGAGUCCUUCAAUGUUGUUCCUUAUUAAUCAGGGAGUCGCUUUUCCUACUCGGGUGAUGAUACAACCCAAAUCGACAAGUAGAUGACUAAGGACAACACAAACACUUCACAAUUACGUUAGUCAUCUCAACAUCCAAGAAAAGACCCCACCAAACAUCAGAAGGACCUCAACAGAAGAAGAACUGGACAUAGGCCAGAGCAUCAGAUGUUCUUUCUUUUGGUCUUUUUACAAGACAAGUUUAUGUAAAUAAUUUUGGCUCUUUUUCGGGUUCAAAUAGAAGAAUAAGCUAGAGUAGGGUGUGCUUAGUAAUUUGGGUUUGUGCCAAGCCCACCUUUCAUGACAUGUGCACCUAGGUUUAGGAUUUCUUUGACCUAUCUUCUAGAAGGUUUCGCACAAAUGAUGUCCCUAUCCGUCUCACUCUUGCUCCCCAAGUCACUCUCUCCUAUAUAAAGGGUGUCUUGCUUCAUGUAUUUGGACACAUUGAAUUUUGAAAGUAAAGAAACUCUGUUAGAGUGUUUAGUGAGCGGAGUAUCCUAUUAUUCUUGGAUCUUAUCUCAAGUGCUCUUUAGUUCAAGUGACAACUCUAUACCACUCAUCUAAGAGUAUCUCAUCCUCCAAGUGGCGUGACAACCUCUGAUAUUCAUAAACUUUCUUCAUCUCUUCACCUUUUCCCUUCCUUUUCUUUGCGCUACUUUUCUUAAUUCUCUAUGUUAUUUUGUUUCCUUUUUCUUAUGUGUUAUUUUUGCCAAUGAUUAACAAGAAAAUAAGGCAAAAUGUUGUUACUUCAAUUGGAGAAAAUAAGAAUUGAGUUUCAUCUUUCUCACUCUUUUGUAUUUAAAAUAGCCUGAUAAUAUUAUGCCCUUUGAUUGAUUUUGGUGAUAACUACGUCUUUUUGCGGGGUUGACAUAUGAAGUUGUGGGUAUAAGAUGUGGUAGUCAUACUAGUUCCAUCGCGAAGGCCUUUUUGAGGAUGACCUUGUUGGGAUAUCAAGGAAAGUAUAUGUUUCAUAUUUUCCCAUUCAAUGCUCAUGUAUUGUGAAACACAAGCGCGAAGCUCGUUCAUAUUAAACGACGGAUCCGCAUAUCUGAAAAUGAACCGGUUCAGAAUCCGACUUUGAUGGAGUGCAUUGCCACCUUUGGAUUUAGGUCAAGGAUGGUCAAUAAAUAUUAACCAUCCAACUUUUACGAACUAAAUUUUUUUCAUGAUAUUAACUGGAUAGUAAUAACUCAGAUCUUUUAUAAAUUCAUUUAAUUUACUGAUUAAAUAAAUUAAUAAACUUUAUCAUUUACGAAAACGUUAAAAUUAUAUAUUUUCCGAUACAAGUCAAUUAGCUUUAGUGCUGACGCCAUUGAAUAUUUGGUCAACGUUAGUGAAUAGUUCAGUAGCCAGCCAUGCACCUAACCCUUUUAAGUUUAGAUAAUCCAAACGGUGUUCAAAUAUUAACUGAUGCGAUUCAAAGUAAAUAUUCAUUAAUCUCAAGUUCACAAAUUAAUGACAAAUUUAAAAUUGAUUUCGAAUGAAGUAAUUUUAGAUGAUUUUUGUAUUAAAUAAAAAACUCACUAAAUUUUAUUAAUAACUUUUUAUAACAAUAUCUAAACUUAAAUCAAAUAUUAAAAAAUUAAAAUUUAACUAGAAUUUUUUAUUUCAAGCAUUGAUUCAAACACAUACCUAACCGCCUAUAUAUGAAUAUUACAAAGUUAUAUUUUAAUUCUUAAAAAUUCAAUGUUUUGAAUAUUUUAUUCAACUCACUAACGUAAACUUAGUGAUGAAAUGUUUGAAUAUUUGUAUAGUGUCACUAUAAAAGAAAAUAAAGUUUUAAUAAAACGGCGUGUGUUUUUAUUCAUUUGUUGUGCCAUAUAUUUUAAAACUUUAUUUGACAUUCACGCAUAAUAUAAUGUUAUUAAUUUAGAUAAUGUCAAAAUAAAAACAUAUAUGUUCAUGUAGAAAUUUAUAUUAUGUUGGAUUUGCAGGUACUCUUAUUAUUUAAUUAAUUUUUUAAUUAAUAAAAAAAUAUGUUCAACCAUACCAUCUUUUAAAAGAAUAAAUCUUAUCUUGAGAUGGAGAUUCUUUACACGACUAUUGUUCCAUUAUUUGUUUUCUGAAAAAUAAGUGCAUGUGAAGUUGCAAGGUUGAACACAACAAUUUGGUCAAUAUGGAAAAAGAUUUUAUCACGAUUAAAUUAUUAUUUGAUAGAGAAAAAGGACCCUUAUAUGGCUGUCUAUUUUGACUGUUAUAUAAAUGAGUGAAAGUGAUGUAAGGAAUAAAGUAAUGCUGCAUGAUGAAUGAGGGUAGCUCGGGCUCUCUACCCAUCUACUUCAUUUCUUUCAUCUACUUUCUGUUUUGUUUUGCAUAUAAUAGUUAUAGCAAUAGCAAAUUAGCAUCAUCAUUUGUUUCUUGUCGCCUACUUACUUUUUUUUAUAUCUUUUUUUGUUAUGGUGUUCUUCACUUGGUCCAACUUCUAGACUUGUUUAUCAUUUAGGAUAUUUUUAAAGUUUUUUAGAUUUGGUAUCGUCAAUAUACUACUAUAUUGUAUGAAUUGAGGUUAAAGACAAUUUAUAUACUUCUUUCUCCCUUAAUACUACAAGAAAAUCAUGAAAUAGAAACUAAUAGAGAGAAAAAAAAUUAGUUGCUACAAUGAUUAAAUUAGAGAUCAUUUUAGAAAUUGAAAUUUUUUUGGUUUCUAAAUUAGUUUCUAUUAUUGUUAAAUAAUUUUUAAAUUGGUAUCUAAUUAGCUACCAAUGUUUUAACUACUAAUUAUUUAGAUUCUAAAUUUGGUAGCAAAAACUUUGGUAGCUAAUUAGAUACCAAUUUAGAAACCAUUUAACAAUAAUAGAAAUUAAUUUAGAAAUAAAAAAUAUUUUUAGUUUCUAAAAUGGUCUCUAAUUUAGUGACUUUAACAACUAAUUAUUUUUGGUAUCUAAAAUUUGUUUCUAUUUCAUGAUUUUCUUGUAGUGUAAUCAAUUGAAAUGCUUUUUAAAGAUAAAAUUGUGACGUAACAUCAACUUCGAAACUAAACAAUACUUCAAAUGUCAAAUGUAUUUAUUGAUUUAAUAAUAUUAUAUAUUAUCUUUUGAAUUUGAGGUCUUAACACGUGUUAGAACUUUUUAGUUAUUGUAAGUAUAUUUAAGAACUUAUUCAAUGAAAUAAAAAUGAAACGUAUAAUAAGAUUUUAUUUAUUUUUAUUAGCACGCAUUAAUAUGAAAUUUUAACAUUCCAAACUCUAUGGUCUAUAAAGAUAAGAAGAACAACCUCCAAAAAAAAAAAUAACAAAACUUAAAUUUUGGGAGGCUUAAAGGAUUUCUAAAAAAUCAAAAGGACAGGAAGGUAAAGAAUUAAAUAAAAAGAAAAUUUAAGAAAAUCAACAUAUUUAUCACCCUCAAUAAAUAUACUUUAAAGUCCAUAUAUUUAUUAUAUAUUAAAGAGUUUGUUAUGAAUUAACUUUCGGCCUCCAUCAAACAAUUCUAUCAUAUUCAAGUCAAACACUCACCAACUUAGUUCUUUUGGAGUGAAAAUAAGAAUAUCAUUAAUAGAAGAAUAAGAGAAAUUAAAAAACAAACAUAAUUUAACUAAACCCAAAUAUUCUUAACAAAAACACACUUAAAGAAAAGAUGGCUCAAGCUUUUUCGUCGUGGAGGUUGCAUAAAUUAAUGUCUCUUAUAUGAAAUUAUUUAUCCUAUAGUAAACAAUUAUACAACAAUUUCGAAAUAACCAAAAGUUUUGCUGAUAGAAGGAUAUUAGACCAAAUAAUCUUCUUAAAAAAAAUAUAACUGAAAAAUAAAGGCAUGGGUAGUCUUUGAUAACUAUAAAAUUGAUGUUACAAAUUCUUCAAUAUACUGUAUAUUUUAAAUUGUAACUAACAUUUUUUGUAUUAGCUAUAUAAAAAAAAUUAAUUUCAUAUAAAUGAUAUUGAUACGUGUCUUUUAAGUAAGUAGUGUUUAAAAUGUUUGAGAAUAUUAAUUAUUACUUUCAAUGAUUUAUAAUCUGUAAUAUCAUGAUAAAAAAAAAUCAUUAGGAAAGAAUUUUUGAAAAUUCAUCGUCUUAAAAUUAUUAAAAAGAAACGUCAAUAUCUUGAACUUUUGACUAGUUAUAUAAUUAUAAAUUAUAUGUAAUACAAAUCAAAUAUGUUUAAUAAUUUUCUUAUAAGUGUUAUGAUCCUUGUCAUCUCUGAAAAGCUAUUAUAUUUAAUUAUAAUUAUUAUAUUUUACUUAGCCCUGUUUAUCUUAGUAAAUAAUAAGAUAAAAAUAUUUUCUUCAAGAAAAAGGUAGAAUAUUUUAAAAGAAAUAAUCAUGUUUAGGAUACUGCUGGAUUUAUAUAAAAAUAUUUUUCACAAUGAAGGUUAAAUAAGAUUUAAAGUAUGCAAUGGCAUUAUUAUCCUAUAGUGCAUACCAAUUAUGACGAGUGAUUUUUUGUAUGAAUCCCAUAAAAUAAAAUAAUUGAAGAGACUGAAAGUUGUCAGAAUCGAAUGUAUGGUCAGGGAUGUUUGAGUUGAGUCUGUGGAUAUUAAUAGUUUAAUUUCAAGUGGGAGUUAAUAAUGAAUUUCGCCCCAUCAAUUAUAGAUAUUUAAAUUCCUUUUGAUAAGUGCGAAUUUGUUGAGGUUGGUACUGGUUAAAAUACAAAAUCAACUCCUCUGUGGAAAGUGUUUCAUGGCGAAGUUGCCCAGAAGCACUAGAGUUUCGCCCAACUUUUUUGACCCACUAUACUUUUUUUCUUUAUAUUUUUCUAUUAAUAAAAAGAAAUAUAUUUCUAUAAUAAAAUAGUUCGUGUAGUCUAACUCUCAUAUAUGAUAUUUAUAUGAGGAUAUUUUGCUGAUAUUUUGCUAAAUAUAAUAUAUAUGCUUAAUAUAGUUUCAAAUUGUAAAUUGGGCAAGAGAAAAUUUAUAUAUAUCAUUCUUCUUAAUUUUUUAAGAUGUAUUUUUAAGACAGAAACGUGAUGAAAUUCUGAAUACUAAAAUAGAUAAUAUAUCUUAAAUGUAGUGAUUGAUGAUAGUAAUAUUAUUUCAACAUACUUGAGAUCGGAAUAUUAAUUUUCUAUGAAAUUGAAACUUUGUGAGAUGGCUAAGAGAGGUUAUUUUAGUGCAGGUACUAGGAUGCUCAUCGGGUGUAGGAAACCUUUGGUGCAAUCGAAAACUACAUAAUUCUAAUGUUGAAAAAUAAGAUGUUUUUUUGGGUUGUGUGGAUUGCAUACCGUUUAUAACAUAUAUAGCUUUUGUGAUAUUUAUGUAGGGCAAUUAUAAUUAAUGUUAUGUGGAAACAAUUGAUAUGCUUCUUAGUCUAGGAAAUGGAAGGUUUUGCUUUUGGUGCAGGUAUUGAAAGAAGAAAGUGUUUUCUGCUUUCCCUAACUUCAUCUUCACUUAAUACACUUGUAACAUUUUAUUAUCCUCUAAUAAUAUAGAUCUGAAUUAUAUAUUUUCAAUCCUUUAAUUAUAUAUGUUUGUCCUCCUCUAAUUUGUUGUUGGAUGCCAAUACCUUGACACAGUUGCAAAGAUACACACAUUUGAUAACUCAAAAUAUUACUAUUUUAAUCAUACUUCUUUUAUAUUUCAAUAUAAAUUAUAAAUAUAUAUAUUAUCAUAUUAUUAAACUAAAUUUAAAAUGGAAGUGUUUUGUUUUUAUAUGGUGCCAAAGCAUAUUUUUCCUUUUGUUGCUUGUUGUUACGUGGAAUGACUAUAUAUAGUGAAACGUGUCAUAGUUGAGUAAGAAAAGUCACAGCACGAGAUGUUAGACCUGAGAUGUAGUAGUUGGUAUAUAUUUCGGGGCUGCUUUAUAUCUUCUUUAUAGUAAAAACAGUUCAAUCAACAGAAUAUUAUAUUUUGUUAAAUAAUAAUUAAAAACAUGUAUUUCCUUCCUGGUCUACUUCAGCAGUAAAACAAAUGAUUUGGAAUAGAAUAAUCGAUUAGUCCACAAACAAGAAACACUACAUUCAUUUAAUGUAAGAAAUUCCCAUGAGUCGUGGAUCAGAUGCUAUAUAAGGGAAGCGUAGGAAGGUAGUAUCCUCGUACCAAGGUCAAACAAAACACAUACACAACCAUGUUGCUCGAACUUGCAAUUGGUUUGUUGGUGCUAGCUUUGUUUUUGCACCUGCGUCCCACACCCACUGCUAAAUCAAAGGCCCUUCGCCACCUUCCAAACCCUCCUAGUCCAAAGCCUCGUCUUCCAUUCAUCGGUCACCUUCACCUUCUCAAGGACAAACUUCUCCACUAUGCCCUCAUAGAUUUAUCCAAACGCCAUGGCCCUUUGUUCUCUCUCUACUUUGGCUCUAUGCCAACCGUCGUUGCCUCCUCCCCUGAGUUGUUCAAACUCUUCCUUCAAACCCACGAGGCUGCUUCCUUCAACACCAGGUUCCAAACCUCUGCCAUAAGGCGCCUCACUUAUGACAACUCAGUGGCCAUGGUUCCCUUUGGACCUUACUGGAAGUUCAUCAGGAAGCUCAUCAUGAACGACCUCCUCAACGCCACCACCGUCAACAAGCUGAGGCCCUUGAGGACCCAAGAGAUCCGCAAGUUCCUCAAGGUGAUGGCACAAAGCGCAAAGGCCCAACAGCCCCUUAACGUCACCGAGGAGCUUCUCAAGUGGACCAACAGCACUAUCUCCAUGAUGAUGUUGGGUGAGGCUGAAGAGAUUAGAGAUAUUGCUCGUGAUGUUCUUACGAUUUUCGGUGAGUACAGUCUUACCAACUUCAUCUGGCCCUUGAAUAAGCUCAAGCUUGGAAAGUACGAGAAUAGGACUGAGGAAAUAUUCAACAAGUUCGACCCCAUCAUUGAGAAGGUUAUCAAGAAGCGCCGAGAGAUCGUGAGAAGGAGAAAGAACGGAGAAGUUGUUGCGGAAGAGCAGAGCGGGGUUUUCCUCGACACUUUGCUUGAAUUCGCUGAGGACGAGACCAUGGAGAUCAAAAUUACCGAUGAGCAAAUCAAGGGUCUUGUUGUCGUGAGUUUCCUGCUUCUUUUUUCUUGGUCGGCUUCAUCAUAUUUAAUGAUAUAUAUCAAUAUCAAACUUCUUUUUGUUCAAAAAAAAGAAUAUAUAAAUAUAGGGCUAAGUCUUAACAAGCUUUUGGAGUAUUUAAUGAAGGAAAUGUUAAUGCUAUACUCAAUAAUUGUUAUUAUAUAUAUGUUUAUAAGGAGGCACAUACAUUGUGUAGCUCAAGACAAAAAGUAUAUAUAUUUUUAUUUGAUGUGGCAUCUUAGACUAAUACACAAUCGUUUGUAUGUGCAGGACUUCUUCUCAGCAGGGACAGAUUCCACAGCCGUGGCAACUGAGUGGGCUUUGGCAGAGCUGAUCAACAACCCUAGGGUGUUGCAGAAGGCUCGGGAGGAGGUGUACAGUGUUGUGGGGAAAGAUAGACUGGUUGAUGAAGUUGAUACUCAAAACCUUCCUUACAUCAGGGCCAUUGUGAAGGAGACAUUCCGCAUGCACCCACCACUCCCUGUGGUGAAAAGAAAGUGUGUGGAAGAGUGUGAGAUUGACGGUUAUGUGAUCCCAGAGGGAGCAUUGAUACUUUUCAAUGUGUGGGCUGUAGGAAGAGACCCUAAGUACUGGAACAGACCAUUGGAAUUUCGUCCUGAGAGAUUCUUAGAAAGUGAAGCUGAAGGGGAAGCUGGCCCUCUUGAUCUUAGGGGCCAACAUUUCACACUUCUCCCAUUUGGGUCAGGUAGAAGAAUGUGCCCUGGAGUGAAUUUGGCUACUUCAGGUAUGGCAACACUUCUUGCAUCUGUUAUCCAGUGCUUUGACCUGCAAGUGGUGGGCUCACAAGGACAAAUAUUGAAAGGCAAUGACGCCAAAGUGAGCAUGGAAGAGAGAGGUGGGCUCACAGUUCCAAGGGCACAUAAUCUGGAGUGUGUUCCAGUUGCAAGGACAAGCAUUGCAGCUAAACUCCUUUCCUAGUUCAUAAGAUAUAUACAAAAUUAGUGUCUUUCCGCAUGCACUUGUUUUUGUAUGUUGAUAAUAAUCAUUUCAAUAAGGUGCCUUUGAUACUUAACCAAGUAAGGGCACAUUCACAUGUAUCACAUGAACUCCAGUUUGUCUGUUUGUUACCAAUUGUUGUGUAGAAAUUUUGGAUCCUAAACUUUGUUUUGAGAAACCUAUAAUAUAUAUUACCAGUGCCUUAUUAUAAUAUUUUAACAGUUUGAAUUGCAGUGUUUUCUUUUCAAUAGAUAAGAUCUAAGAUAUCUAAUUUCUUUUAUAACAAUGUUUACUUUAAAUAAGAUUUAUAUAAUUUCAACUUUAACACUUUCUCCAUGUUAUUACAAUUGCUACAAAUAUUGUAAAUAAUAUCCUACAAGUAGUCAAAACAUCAUUUUAAGUCAAAUAAUUCAUAGCAAAAAAAGGAAGAUUUGAAUUAGGGGAUUGUGUAAAUUUUGAAAACUUCUUUUUAUCAAGAUCUCUAGCAUAAUAUGAAUCUACAUAUCCAGUGACUCCAUCUCUAGUCCCCCAAACUCCCCCAAACUGCAGACAAACAUCAAUAGCUCUCAAAUCAAUGGAUUACUUGUUUUGCUCCUUGUGUAGGUUGAACAAGUAUUUACUACUACUAAAUCUAAGUUAACAAAUCAUGCAAACAAGGUUUUAAAAAUUAUCUUAAAGAUGACAAAUCAUUACUUAAAGAAGUUAAUCAUUUUGAAUAUAGCAAGCAGUUGGAUCAUUUACCUAUGUGAACAAAUUUUGCAUUUUGUAUGUAACAUGUGCAAAGUGUUAGAACUUUUCAAAGCUAUAAUUACUGGUUUAUUCUGUCUUAAAUGAACAAGUAAAUGUAUUUUUGUCUAUUUUAUAGAUAAUGUUUCUAAAUAACAUUCACACAAGUCUUGGGAAUUUAAAAUACUUAAGAAAAAACACAUUAAAAGGUGUACUCUAUAAAAAAAAGACCAAUUAUUGCACUGCUCCUUUAAUGCACCUACUCUUUAUAGCGGUGAUAGCCUAGGAAAAGAUGAAGCAAGUACACUGCUAAAAAAGUAAUAAGAAGAUUGAUAUCUCAAUUAAGUCAUCAAUAUCCAUAUAUCACAUGUAACAUAAAAAAAAUACAAAACAUAAAGGGAUUAGGAAAACUCAUGCUAGUUAUAUAAAUUAAGGUUCGGAGAAAACUAAAAAUGUUAAAUUCAUUUAAUAAUUAUAUAAUUUUAUAUUAUUUUAAGUCUGUUUAAAUUUAUCUAUUACAAAUCGUAUUUUUGGAUUUUAGAUCAAUAAAUUCAAUUGGAUUAAAUUGGAUAACUUUUAGAUUUUAAAAAUAUAAAACUAAUGUACAUUCGGGUCAUUUUAAGUUAUGAAAUGGUGGAUUAAGCUAGAUCCAAGUAAGAUAGUAUUGGGUAGGACUCAGGUUGAGUCAAGUUGACUCAGGCACAAAUCAAGUCGAUUUUUAGUCUAGGAGAAGAUAGAGUUGAGUCAAUUCAUUCCAAAUCAACAUUGAGUCCAGUCGACCUUGAUUCGAUUCAGUCGAAUCAGUCCAGGUCGAGUUUAGCUAGAGUUAGCAUUCUCAAGUCCAACAUGAGCUCAGAUUGAUCCAAUUAUGUUUGAGCCCUAACAAAGUUAAGUUUGUAUGGGCCCAGGUGUUAGCUGUCGUUUUGCUGUCAAAUUAAUAUGAUUCUAGCGUAGACUUGUCUAACACUAGAGAGAUGAUAGUAUAAUUGUGGACAAAUGUUCCCAAGUCGUCUCCCAACGAAUCCAAUAGUAAAAUCAGUUGAUCAGGGUUUAAAAUCUAUCUGCAAGCAAUAAAAGUUAGCAAUAACAAUAAAAAUAAAAAGGGGGUUUGAGAUAGUUGUGCAGAAAAUAUAAAAGAGAUUAAAAUAGCAAAUAAAAAGCGGUUGAUCCCAAGUUCUUCCACCAUUGAAUUAUUCACAGGUUCUCUAAAGAAUAAUCUUUUCUCAAUCCUCCAAUAGAGUUAAACCAGAUUGAACAUGCGCCGAUCUGAUUCAACUGAAACUCACCAGUAAAACAUGCGUCUACUGGUUUAAUCAAUACCCGUUUUGUUCCAUGCGUAUACUCCAUGAGAAUGCUUACCUUCUCUCUCUUGAAUCAUGCGCCCAAGAAAUUACUUAGAACAAUGUGAACUAACUAAGAAACCAAAGUUUAAGAUAAGGAAUACCCUCAAUCAUGCGUUCAAGUACAACCUCUAAAAAAAACUAGUUUUCCAGAAGAUUAGACUAUUAAAACAACUGCUAUAGAGAAUUAAAAAUCGAAACUUUUAUUGAACAAAACCCCAGAACUCAAUGGAGAAUUACAAAAGAAUCAACCAAAAAGGUUUAGCCUUCCAUGCGGAGGCAAAAUAAAAGAAUUACUAAGAAGAAAAUAAACUAAGAAAACCUUAUGAAGCUCUCUCUUUUCUCCUUGACGCUUGUGUCCUUUUAUAGGCUUUUCUACUCCAAGGAUCUUGGGAAAAUAUUGCAGUUUAGAUUUUGUAAACAGUUUCCACUUUCCAUAAUUCUUUUUAUUUUGCAGAAGAUUUGCUUCCAAUUCUGUUUCUGGAAUCUUGUAGCUUUUAUUUUCUCUUUCUUCUCCUCAGAAUAUUUUUUCUGUUUUGAUUCAAGAAGCAACUCGGACUUUUGAAUAUUUGGCCCAUUCACAAAGGUAGAUGUUUCCUCUGGAUAAUUUACUCUAAAAACACAAAAUUAACAAUAAUAAUAGUUAAGGCCCAAAUAAACCCAAUUAUAAGAAUAUUAAUUAAAACAAUGGAUUUAUUUAUUAUUAUAGUCCAAUAAUCUAUGAAUAAGGCUAGUGAGUGUGUAUGGGCCCAGGUCAAGUUAAGUUGAUUAGGCCCAAAUUAACUCAAUUGGGCCCAAGUCCAAUUCAAGUCGAUUAGACUAUGGACCAAGUCAAAGAGUCGGCUUGGUGCUUGUCGAGUCGAGACGAUCUGACCCAGGUCGAUUCGAGUCGAUACGGUCCAUAUCGAGCAGAAUGGGCCUAUGAACAAGUCCAACCCCGAUCUAGACCAGGGUGUAACUUUAUUAGUUUGGACCCAAGUUGAGUUGAGUGAGCAGGGUCCAAGUCGAGCCAAGUCGAUUGGGCCCAAGUAGAGUCCAAUUAGAGUUAGCUUGGGUUCGAGUUUAGCUCUAACCCAAGUUAGGCCAAGUUGGCCUUGGACCCGAUCAAGUGGAGUUGCUUUGAGCCAGGUCCAGUUAAGUCGAUCGGGCCAAUGUCAAGAUGAAUGGCCCAAACCCAAAUCAAGGUGACAUAAACUCGAGUCGAGCAAAGUCAACCUGGCCUAAGUCGAGUAGAGUUGACUAACCCAGGUCAAGUUGAGUGGGCCCAAACCCACAUCAAGCCUAGUGGGUCUAUCAAAAAGUCCAAUCGAGUUGGCCUAAGACUAGGUCAAGUCGAGUGAGUUAGAGUCAACUUGGGCUCAAGCCAUAUCGGACACAGGUUGAGCUUAAUCAACCUUGGUCCCGUUAUGUUGAGUCAACCUAGGCCCAAGUCGAGUCAAGUUAGUAAGGCUCAGGUCAAGCGGAGUGCGCUCGGGCUCAAAUGAAGAUUAGUGAGCAUAUGCCUAAGUUGAGUCCAAUCAUCCUAAGCGUCGGUUGAGUAGAGUCGACCUUGACCCAGGUCGAGUAAAGUCAGCCCAACCCAGGUCGAGUUGAAUUGAGUAAUCUUGGGCCCAUAUUUUGUUGAGUGGGCUAGGGCACAUGCCAAUAUCUGUUGACUUGCGUUUAGGUCAAGCUUUGUUAACCUGAUCGAAGUCGACCGAUGUAAGCUCAGACCUAGGUCAAGCUGUCCCAAAUCAAGUUGAGUCAGCCCAAGCUGCCCAAAUGUAGCAAAGUUAGUCGGGCCCAAAUUAAUGCGAGUCGGCAUGGGCAUAAGUCAAGUUGAGUUGAUCAGGCCCACAUCGAGCCGAGUCGGCUCGAGUCCAAGUCAAGUUGGCCUAGGAGCAUGUCAAGUCGAGUUGGCUUGGGAACAAAUCAAGUCAAUUCAGCCUAUAAACCCAAGUCGAGUAGAGUCGAACCAAGCACAGUUUAAGUCAAUUUAACUUGAAACUAGGUCAAGAUGAUUCAUCCUAAGCAUGGGAGAACUCGAGUCAAAGUCAAUUCGGGCUUAAGUCAAACUUAGGCAUAGGUCAACCUAAUUCAGCCUAGAUCCAAGUCGAGCUAAGUAGGCCUAAGACCAGAUCGAGUUGAGUUAAAUUCAACUUGACCAAGUUAAGUUGGGUUUGUUUUUGGUGGAGACAUCGAACCCAAAUUGGUUUGGGACCAUGUUAAGUUGAGUUGGAUCGAUCCGAUGUCAGGUUGAACUUAGUCGACUUGUUUUUAGGUUGAGCUGAGUCGACCUAGUCCACAUUCAACUGAGUUGUGUUAGGCUCAAAUCAGGCCAAAUCCAAUCAAGAUUGCGUUAGGUUAGGCCUAGAUCGAGCUAGGUCUAGAUUGAGUCAAGCUUAGGUAGGAUCGAGACGGAUUGGAUCAGGUCGAGUCAAGUUAAGUUGGUUCUAUGUUCGAUCGAUACAUCGAGCAAUGAUAUGGUUAAAAUCAUGCCAAGCUGAAUUUGGUUGAUCUUAUGUUAGGUCAAUUAGGUUGAUCUCACGUUGAAUUUAUUCUAAUUGACAAAGUGAAUUUAAUAUAGAUUUGAAUCAAUUUGAUCUAGUUAUAAUUGAUUUGAAUUUUAGAUCAAUUUAUUUUAUUGAAUUUGGAUUGGAUCUAAAUUUGAUUAUAUAUGAAAAAUCCAAUCCAUGACCAACUAAUAUAAAUUCAAGUAACUCAAAUAUAUUCCUAAAAAAAUCUUUCUUAAUAUAAAAAAUAAUCAACUAGGAAAAACUCAUGAAUGUGAGUAUUUAAUAUUUUAGGAAACCAAACUUUGGCUUAUGAAUUCCUUAACCACCAACUUUGACUCACAUUUUAUCUAUAAAGAAUAUCCUUUUAUAUAUAUAUAUAUAUAUAUAUAUUUAUUUUUUUUUGUUUGCUCAACUUUUAUCUUCAGAACAAUCAGCCCAUCAGGAAAAACUUCAGUUAUACCAUUAUAAUUCGUAUUAUUCUUCACUAGAUGCUCCAAAAAUUUCAGCAUUGCAUUAAUAGCCAAGAUGGCAUUUAAUAGACCCAUCAAUAUUACACUUAAUAGUAGUAGACAAAGUUUCUUUACUUUGACAUACAAUGAAUGGGGGAUAUUUGAUAUAUGGAGAUUAAGAAAGCAAGACGCUUAUAAUAAAUAUUCAAAUAGGUGUAAAAAUUAUUAAAAUACUAUAAAUAUAAUAAGCAUAUUGUUCAUUAGUUACAUAUUUAUCAUUUUUUUCGAGACUUCAAUUAACUUUAACGUGAAUAUUUUAUAUAUGCACAAUUUUUUUUUCUUUAAUCAUUGUACCUUGACUUCUUCGACGAUGGUUCCCUCUCUGACUUCAGAAGUUGACCGUGGCGGCUGUUGCUCUGCCUGCAAUGAUGAAGGUCACUCACGGUGAAGCAAACGAACAAAGGCGAAGGUGGCUGACGGUGUCUCACAGUGGCUGACGGUGUCUCAUGGUGUCUCACGGUGCCUGCGGCUGCUGCUUCACGCACAAACGAAGAAGAAGAAGAAUAGGGUUGAGUGCAGAUCACAUUUAAGGUAUUUUUUAAAUUCAUUAAGGAUAAUUUGGUCUUUUCGUACAUGUGAUUGGGUGUCAGUUCAAAAUCAUCGGGUGCAGGAAGAAUCAGCCAUAUGAGUUUGACCUAGUGGUAUAAGGGAGUUGUAAUGUAAAGGUUGUUUUUUUUUUUGAAGGGUUUUAGGAUAACUCUUAUGUCCUAAACCAAUUUGAUUUUGUAUACUGGCUGAGAUACCCCUGAAGCAUUCCUUUAAUUCAUCUUAAUUCUUUGCUGAUAAAAAAAAAAUAAUAAAUUGUUCAUUAGUUACAUAUUUAUGAUUUUUUGGAGACUUCAAUUAACUUUAACGUGAGUAUUUUUAUAUAAACACAUUUUUUUUUUCAUAACAAUAUAAAACAUAAUAUAUUAAUAAGAAGAUAUCUUCUAAAAAAGAAAUAUAAAAAUAUUUUCUUAUUAAAUAGCAUGAGUAUAUAAUAUUUUUAAAAUUUAACUAUACAUGUAUAAUGUAGAAAGACACCCUCCACUGCUUUCUAAAACCAAACGAAAUAUUUAUGAGAUUUUAGGAAAAAAAUAUGAGUAAAAUUUGAGGAAGAAGAAAUGAUGUGCAUUGAAGGCGUGAUAGGAUAAACACACAAAAAAAAAAAAGACAUUAAUGAAAUUAGGAGAUGAAACCUACUAGAAAAUGAAGAUGAAAUUAUUUUAGAGUGAUGCUACAUAAUUAUUUCAUUUUCUACUUUGCUUCUAUCCAAUACAAAUAAGAUAAUAUUUUUAUUUUAAAUAUAAAAUAAUUUAGAAUAAAUAAAUCAGAAAAAGAAACGAAUUAAUUUUUUAUUAAAUGUUAGAAAGGUGUAGAAAAAAUAAAAAAUGUACAUAUCUGUAUUUUAUGAGUGUCAAAUUUGAAACCCAGAAUAUUUUAAAGUGGAUUGAAUUGUAGUAGGAGAAAUUGAAAAAAGAAAAAUAAUUUAAAAUCUUAUUUUGCAUGGCCGCAGAAACUGUGCUAAGCAAAACGAAGUGCUAUUGCCAACUACGUAUUUUCAAAGAUUUUGAGUUGGUGAGUUGAAGCAUAUUAAAAUAAUGAUGAAUCACCCAAAUUUGACUUGAGAAUUUGCAGAUAUUAAGUGAAAAUGAAAGUGAAAGUGAAAAUAUGAAAGUGAAAAUGAAAACAACUUGUUGGAUUUAUUUUAAUUUUAUUUUGCCUGACUAUUUAAAAAUUUAUUUUUAUUUAAUCAGAGUUUUAAGUUUUACUCUUAAUUAUACUAACUUAAAAAGUAGUUUUGAAAAUAUUUAAUUUUUAAACAGGAAUAGAGCAAUAAACGGUAGUGUUAAAAAGUGAAGAGUAUAAGCAGUAAUUGGUUAUAAUUUGAAAUUUUAGGCAUUUGUUGAGGGAAGAGGCCAUAACAUAAGCAUAAGCAGGAGUUCGUGAGCACAUCGUCUUGGACUAGAAAUAGAGUAAGUGAAGCUUUUUUGUGUGUAUUAUUAACCAAGAAAAGUAUGAGGAAUGUAAUAAAAAGUGAAGAAGAAUUAUAUAAUAUUGGGAAGUUUAUGUUUGCUUGUGUGAAAACAAAGAAGAAUAAUAUUUUAAAGACAGUGGUAGGCGCAUAUGAGCUUGUUUGUGUGGGAAAAUGAUAAUUAAAAGAUCAAUGUUUACUCAGUAUUUUCAAAGAUAUGAGGCAGAAAAAAAAGAAUUUUUUUAAGACAAAGACUUUGAAAUACGGUUAAACAAUCAGUAAACUUUGAAUUCCUAAAUUCUCAAAUAUCCUAAUGAUUUCAGAAACUAUGAAAAAAAAUAAGAUAAGUAAUGCUUUUUUCAUGCCAACAUCACGCCCACUUAAAGUGCAACCUACAUAUAUGUUAUUAAUAAGAUAAAAAAGAAUGAAUUGGUUGAUAUGUUAUUAAUAAGAUAAAAAAAAUGAAUUGAUUGAUAUUUUAUGUAAUCAAAUUUAAGAGCAUAAUAGUCCAAAAUAUUUUGAAAAAGCAAGAUAUUUUUGUAUGAUUCUUGAUUACACUCCUUGUAUGAACCAUCAAUAACAAAUUAGUCUCAUACUCCAACGUGUGAGUAUUUCUACAAGUCCAAUAAAAGUAUGAGUUUUCUGUAAAAUUUUGAAAGUUUACGAUAUAAUAGGUUAUGAAGAUUUUCCAGACGGGACAAAUCAAUUAUAUAUUUUUAUAUUAUGUAUUAAUUGGAAUAUUCAAUUUAAAUUACAUUUUAAAAUGUUUUAAAAUCAAUUAAAUAUUAGAUACUAUAUUUCAUUAUGUUGAUUAAUAUAAUAUAAAAAAUAUCAUCUGUCCAUAUAAGUCCAAUUUCAAAAUAAUAUAAUAAAUGCUAUGAAUAAUAUAAUAAUUAAAAUAAAUAACCGUAACAUAAAAUUAUAAAAAAAAACGAAAUUUGAUUUAUCAUUGUACAUAUUGUUAAUUGAUAAUUAAAUUUUAAUACCUUGUGAUAAUUAAUUGACCCUUAAAGGAAAACAGCUUUGGUCCACCACAAUCAAAGUGUGGAAAAACUAUUAAAAGACUAUAAAUANNNNNNNNNNNNNNNNNNNNNNNNNNNNNNNNNNNNNNNNNNNNNNNNNNNNNNNNNNNNNNNNNNNNNNNNNNNNNNNNNNNNNNNNNNNNNNNNNNNNAUUGUUCAUUAGUUAUAUAUGUAUCAUUUUUUCGAGACUUCAAUUAUUGGAUUAGAGUAGGAGAAAUUGAAAAAAAAAAUUAGAAUUUAGAAUCUCACAAGAUUUUUUUGGCAUGAUAUGAUCCGCCGCAGAAACUGUGGUAAGCAAGCAAAACGAAGUCGUAGUACGUAUUUUGAUUCAAAGAUUUUGAGUUGGUUUGAUUUGAAGCAUAUUAAAAUAAUGAUGAAUCACCCAAAAUUGACUUGAGAAUUUGCAGAUAUGAAGUGCAUGCACUCUUGGCCAGCCCUCGUAAGAAGAGAUUAUUAGGCUUUUGACUUGAGAAUGAAAGUGAAAAUGAAAACAACCUCUUGGAUUUAUUUUAAUUUUAUUUUGCCUGACUAUUUUUAAUUUUAAUUUUAUUGAAUAUAUAAUUUUUAAAGACGAGUAGAGCAAUAAAUAAACGGUAGUGUUAAAAAGUGAGGAGUAUUAUAAGCAGUAAUUGAUUAAAAUUGUAAAUUUUGAGGAUUUGUUGAGGGAAUUGGAGCCCAUAAGAUAAGCAUAAGCAUAAGCAGUAUUUAAGACUCGCAGCCGAAAAGAGUUCGUGAGCACAUCGUCUUCGACUAGGAAUGGAGUAGGUGAAGCUUUUUGGUGUGCAUUAUUAACCAAGAAAAGUAUGGGGAAUGUAAUAAAAAGNNNNNNNNNNNNNNNNNNNNNNNNNNNNNNNNNNNNNNNNNNNNNNNNNNNNNNNNNNNNNNNNNNNNNNNNNNNNNNNNNNNNNNNNNNNNNNNNNNNNUAAAAUAUAGUAAUGAAUAUUUAUAAUUUAUAUUUUUAUAACUCUAAAUAUUAUAUUUUAAUGAUAUAAUUUAUUUUGAAACUUAUUUUUUAUUAUAUAUAUUUAUUUAUAAAUUCAUUAAAUUAUAUUAAAUUGUAUCGAGUUGCAUAAGUGUCAUUUUCCUAUAAUAUAAUAUUGAGAAGAAGUUUGUGUCUGCUUGUGUGAAAAGAAAGAAGAAUAACAUUUGAAAGAGACAUGGAGGCGAAUAUGAGGUUCCUAUAAAAGGGGAGCGAUGGAAGCCUGUAUGUAUCCUCAGACUCUCUUCUCUAUCUAGGCAGUGAGUUGCAGAGAGGAAGAAGAUCUGAUAAGCAGAAACAAAAACAAUCAUGUUGCUGGAAAUUGCAAUCGGUUUGUUGUUGAUAGGACUGUUUCUGCACCUGCGUCCUACACCCACUGCUAAAUCCAAGGCCCUUCGACACCUUCCCAACCCUCCUAGCCCAAAGCCUCGGCUUCCCUUCAUUGGACACCUUCACCUUUUGAAUGGCCAACUUCUGCACCACUCUCUCAUUACUCUUUCCCAACGUUAUGGCCCUUUGUUCUCUCUCUACUUUGGCUCCAUGCCCACCGUUG
rnacentral:lncRNA from 1 species